UGCAGUUCUCUAUCAAUGAUACGGAAAUCACCACUUAGUCCUGGUUUUAGCUCUGUGUUUUGCAUAGAGUCAAUGAGCAGAGAUCCCACUUCUGAGGUUCUAAGUGCAUCUAGGUCUGUUAAGUUCUCUCUAGUGUCUGGUUUCUUUAAUUUUGGGAUAGCAGUAGUGCCCACUUUCUCUACUGCUUCUGCUAAUAAGGUGAUGCUAUCAUAUGCCCAUAGCCCGAAAACAUUGAGUUCUACUUGGUCCAUGUCUGGAUACUCUUGACGAAAUCUCUUUCUCCAUCUCUUGGUGAACAUGUCAAGCUCAUUUGAUCUUGUAACAUAAGAUUUUACACCCAGAACACCUUGCAUUGAUGACUCAAUUACUGAAGUAUCUACCAGGUUCCAUAGGGGCUUUCCUCAUAGAUUACUACAACCUCCCUCCAAUUAUAGUUUUUAACAAUUGCUGCAAUGGCUUUAGUCUGACUGGAAGAAGGAAGUGCUCCUCUGAUGAAGAAGGGAUUUUCCUUGACUGUAAGUAAAGGACUUGUUGCUGGAGAAAUUAUAGGGACUUUUACUCUGUUCCCUAAGUCGAUCACAAAAUCAGUUUGAGUAGACAUUUGUGGCCCAAAGAUAGCUUGCACUUGGACAUCCUUUAGCAAGUAUAUGGCUGCACAUACACAAUCAGACUUAUAAGUAAUUGUCUGAACAUCUCUUUCAAAAUAGAAAAACUAAAGGGAAAAGUAAUAUCUUAGAGAAAAAGUGAAUCUUUUGAAGCAAAGAGAGAGAGAUAAUGCUAGUUUAACAUAGGUAAAGCUUAGAGCUGAAUUUUACCAGCUGAUGCUGCUUCAACAUCAUCUUUCUUUGAAUCCCUGAUAUGAGGAACUAUCCUUAUGGCACCGCGACUAGUGUUGGCAUGAUAAUCCGCAAGAGCUAGUAAGAUAGAUAUGUGCAUUACUUUUCCUACUUCUGUUUCCAGAUCAAGAAUUAUUCCCACAUCCAUCUUUACAGCACUAGUGUUAUUAUCUUCACCUCUUAUUCCAAUUACAUAGUGGCAAAAACCAAUGAUGGAAACAAGUUGAAUGAAGAUAAUUAGGGAUUUGCAUCUUGGAUUAUGCAUUUGAAAAACUCUAGUAGACAGUAAUAUGAGAGCUGGACAAGAAGCAGUUGUGGUUGUGCAAGAUAUAUAACUAUAACUUUUCUAUAAUUAAAAUAAAACCAUACCUCAUAACUGCAGAAAGAAAAGUCAAAGUUUUUCAAGAAUAACAAAUGGUUUAAAAUAUUACUUCUAGUUUGAUUCUUAAAGAAAGAGGACUUUUCACACUUGUUAGACCACAAGCUAGUAAAGNNNNNNNNNNNNNNNNNNNNNNNNNNNNNNNNNNNNNNNNNNNNNNNNNNNNNNNNNNNNNNNNNNNNNNNNNNNNNNNNNNNNNNNNNNNNNNNNNNNNNNNNNNNNNNNNNNNNNAUUCAUCUUCAGUUUAUGCGAAAUGCCAUCCUUCUCUGUCCAGAAUCCAACGACUUUCUCUCCUUUCCCGAUUAUAUUCACAAUCUGAUAUGGGUACGGCUGCAGUUCUCUAUCAAUGAUACGGAAAUCACCACUUAGUCCUGGUUUUAGCUCUGUGUUUUGCAUAGAGUCAAUGAGCAGAGAUCCCACUUCUGAGGUUCUAAGUGCAUCUAGGUCUGUUAAGUUCUCUCUAGUGUCUGGUUUCUUUAAUUUUGGGAUAGCAGUAGUGCCCACUUUCUCUACUGCUUCUGCUAAUAAGGUGAUGCUAUCAUAUGCCCAUAGCCCGAAAACAUUGAGUUCUACUUGGUCCAUGUCUGGAUACUCUUGACGAAAUCUCUUUCUCCAUCUCUUGGUGAACAUGUCAAGCUCAUUUGAUCUUGGAACAUAAGAUUUUACACCCAGAACACCUUGCAUUGAUGACUCAAUUACUGAAGUAUCUACCAGGUCCAGAAGACUCGUCAGCACAUCAGUGAUGAUCCAUGCAUAUCCACUGUUCAUCAUCCCGGCUUCUUUGGCCUUGAGGAAAAGGCGGGAGGCAAGAUUUUCUUGCAAGUGCACAAUGAACACCCUGGUCUGCAUUGUCUUCAACUUGUAUAGCUCCCUGAGGAUUUGAUCAUCAUUGGCUGAAGGAGAAAUACCACUUCUAUAGGAGACUAAAGUAUUGAUUUCCAGCAAGGCAUCAGUCAAAUAUGGAAGUAUCCCGGUUCCAUAGGGGCUUUCCUCAUAGAUUACUACAACCUCCCUCCAAUUAUAGUUUUUAACAAUUGCUGCAAUGGCUUUAGUCUGACUGGAAGAAGGAAGUGCUCCUCUGAUGAAGAAGGGAUUUUCCUUGACUGAAAGUGAAGGACUAGUUGCUGGAGAUAUUAUAGGAACUCUAACUCUGUUCCCCAAGUCGAUCACAAAAUCAGUUUGUGUAGACAUUUGUGGCCCAAAGAUAGCUUGCACUUGGACAUCCUUUAGCAAGUAUAUGGCUGCACAUACACAAUCAGACUUAUAAGUAAUUGUCUGAACAUCUCUUUCAAAAUAGAAAAACUAAAGGGAAAAGUAAUAUCUUAGAGAAAAAGUGAAUCUUUUGAAGCAAAGAGAGAGAGAUAAUGCUAGUUUAACAUAGGUAAAGCUUAGAGCUGAAUUUUACCAGCUGAUGCUGCUUCAACAUCAUCUUUCUUUGAAUCCCUGAUAUGAGGAACUAUCCUUAUGGCACCGCGACUAGUGUUGGCAUGAUAAUCCGCAAGAGCUAGUAAGAUAGAUAUGUGCAUUACUUUUCCCACAUCUGUUUCCAGAUCAAGAAUUAUGCCCACAUCCACCUUUACAGCACUAGUGUUAUUAUCUUCACCUCUUAUUCCAAUUACAUAGUGGCAAAAGCUAAUGAUGGAAACAAGUUGAAUGAAAAUAAUUAGGAAUCUGCAUCUUGGAUUAUGCAUUUGAAAAACUCUAGUAGACAGUAAUAUGAGAGCUGGACAAGAAGCAGUUGUGGUUGUGCAAGAUAUAUAACUAUAACUUUUCUAUAAUUAAAAUAAAACCAUACCUCAUAACUGCAGAAAGAAAAGUCAAAGUUUUUCAAGAAUAACAAAUGGUUUAAAAUAUUACUUCUAGUUUGAUUCUUAAAGAAAGAGGACUUUUCACGCUUGUUAGACCACAAGCUAGUAAAGCCUCCUCUUCAGUUUUGACCAAAUCAAUAAAUGUCUAAAUGAACAUAGUGACAAAAUUGAUUGGUACGCAUUCUCCCAAUUAUAUAUAACCUAUGACGUUUGUGUAUUUAUUUGAUGACUAUCUAGAGUCUAUUAAAAGGACUUCCCACAUUUUGGCUAAGUCAUGCAUGGUGAAAGUUGAGAGCUAGCUCAGAUACAAAUAAGUAGAAGAGACCAUUGUUUCUAUGACUUGGAAAAGAGUAGCUAUGACUAGUAAUCUUUAGCUUACACGGUUUCAGUUUAGAAUUGGUCAGUAGUAUUAACUUGCUUGCAUUUUUAUUUUAUUUUAAGAUGAGUGGAACUUUUUUUUUUUUUGGCUUUUUCUAAUUGUUAAUCUUAUAUAUUUUUUAAAUUUAUUUGUGAAAUUUGCAUAAAUAGCAAUCUUUUUUAUUUUAAGAUGAGUGGAACUUCUCUUCUUUUUUUUUUUUUGCUUUUUCUAAUUGUUGAUCUUAUAUUUUUUUAAUUAAUUUUUAUUUGUGAGGUUUGCAUAAAUAGCCGAAGAGGUUCAAACCCACAACUCUAGCAUGGGAAAGCAUUCCCAAGACCCCUUCCUUACCACUAAGCCAUCAAUUAGUUUUGUUAAGGGGUUCACAAGUUAAAAUACAUAUAUAUUUAUUUAAUUUUUUAAUACAAGUAGAGGGUUUAUGGAAAAGCUAUUGGGUUCGCCCGAACCCCCACUAAGAUAGGCAUAAAAGUAUCAAUACAUUUAUUUUUAUGAAGGUAAAUACCAUUAGAUGUAACUUUUCAAGAAUGAAAACAUGUAUUAAAACAAAACUGAAAAGAGUAAUAACAUAAGUGAGAAAAAAGACAAGAAAUGUAGAGAGACAAGAGAGAGUUUUCUUAUUCUUCCAAGUAUAAUCAAGUGUUUUUCAAAUCUUCAAGUGCAUAACACAAUCUCAAGACCUCUAUUUAUAUUGUUAUAAAAAGGCAUACAAAGAUAUAACAAUAACCAUGAUAUUAAUUUUUGAGAAUGUAGGGAAGAUCAAGGGAUAACAAUAAACAUGAUAUUAAUUUUUGAGAAUGUAGGGAAGAUCAAGGGGUGUAGAAGAUAAAUGAGGAGAUGGUGAAGGUGCGAGUAUUAUUACAUAUAAUGGUGAAAUUACACCUUGAAGUUAUGGACAUCCACAUUAAUAUAAUAUAUUUACAACAAAACAUUAAUUACAUAUAAAUUAUAACUAAAUUAAAAAUGAUGAGAAAAACAUAAAAAUGCCCCCAAAAAAGGAGAAAAAAAUUAAAUAUGAAUAGAGAUCAUAGAGAGGUGUCACGUCACUUUGUCUAUAUCUAGCUUUAUUUUAUAUAUAUAAGUAAGAAUAGAGGUCAUAGCCUAUAUCUAGCUUUAUUAUAUAUAUAGAUUUUUCUUCAAUUUUUGUUGGUUUUCUCUUUUUAAAUUUAAUUAUGUAAUACGUAAUAAUAAAAAAAAAACAAGAGCCUUAUUUUCCCCCAAUUUUCAUUGGUUUUUUCUUUUUAAAAUUUAUUUAUGUAAAUAUAUUCUUUUUAAAAUUUAUUUAUGUAAUUAUUAUUUUUUUGGAAUAUUUUUAAUAGCUCAAAAAAAAUUAAUACAAUUGAAUGAAAAGAGAAAAUCGGGUUAUUUUAAUCAAAAUUGAACAAUUUGAGUUGAUUUGGGGCUUUCCGUCAAAAGAGGGGUAUAUAUAUGGUGAAAUUAGUAACGGUAGGGAAAAAACUAACUUCACUUUAACGGUAAGGGCAUAGUCAACCAAUAAAACAAAAUUAAGGGGUGUUUUUGACCCUUUUCCCUAAUCUUUUUCAUAGGUAGCAGUGGAUACUGGAUACAUUUGUUAUAGUCAUAUACUCAAUAAUAUAGUAAUUUUUGUUUAUAUUUUUUAUGAACUGAAAUUGCAAGAAUUAUCAUUUAAUAAGCGAGUUUUCAAUUUUUGUUCUUCAACGGUCGAAUUUAUAUCUAGUAAAAUAUAUAUUCUGUAAAGGAGAAAAGUCAUGUAAGGCAUAAGUUGCGGAUAUUAUAAUGCAAGUAUGUAUAUAUAUAUAUCAGAAAAUAAUUUAUCUUGAACACAAAAAUUAAAAAUUAGCACAAAAUAAGGACAAAAGUGCAAUAUAUGUAUAUAUAUGUGUUAUCAGAAAGCUAUUUAUCUUGAACACAAAAAUUAAAAAUUAGCACAAAAUAAGGACAUAAGUGCAAUAUAUGUAUAUAUAUGUGUUAUCAGAAAGUUAUUUAUCUCGAACACAAAAACUAAAAAUUAGCACAAAAUAAGGUCAAAAGUGCAAAAAUUUUAUACUUUCGCUCUCCCGACUCAAGCUAAUACGUUAAAAAUUAAUGGGAAAAUUAUACAUAAUAGUAAAUAUUUAGCCUGUAUUAGGUGAUAUAGCUAUAGUUUUAGAAAAUUGUAAUUCGCGGCUAUAAUUUUUUCAAUUCUUGCUAUUGACCUGAUUUGUAUAAUUCGCAUAAUUUGUAUAAAUCUAGAAUUUGUAUAAUUCGGUUCCUAAUAGUAAAAAUCUAGAAUUGUGUAUAUGUUUACCCUAGUUAUUUGUAUACGAUUUAUUAUUUAUAAUAAAUUACCUUGUUUGUAUAUCGACAAGCGAAAUAUAUAAAUGGAGUUCUGAAAAAUUCAUAAAUGUAUAAAUACAUAAUUUGUAUAUAUUUAUCCUAUUGGUAUAUUCACAAGCGAAAUAUACAAACGUGCAGAAAUAUACAAACCACAGCCUCCAUAUCAAACAGAACUAUAGCUAUGGAGCGCAGUUAUUAGAGCUUUAUUAUGUUUGCUAUUUCUAAAAUUUUCUCAAAAUUAAAAUAGACUAUGUUUUUCGGUCUUAUUUCAAUAGGCUCAUAUGGUAUAUAAUUUGAAAGCCUAGGUUUUUUUUGUUUUUUUAUAUCAAUAUUCUUUCAACUUAGCCGAUUGACAAUUAAUUAAAUCGAUGACAAAAAUAUUGAUUUCGUAAAUUUGAGUGAUGAAAAUCAAAUUAGAAAAGUAACUAACAAAUGGAAUAUUUUAUGUUAGUGAAUGAAUGAAAUUAUAGGCCUCUUAAUUACAAGAUUUAGAUAAUCUUCUUUCUUUUGAAUUAAUUUUUGAGGUGUGAAUUAUACUCAAAAUAUAAUUUAACAUGACAUUAAAGACAAACCUGAUGUGGGCUCCCAGGAAACCAAACAAUUGCGGAGGUGGAAAUUAUUUUCUAUUCAUGAAUGUGAGCAUGUGACACACCGAAUUGGAUCAUUAUUAUAAUGCAAGUAUGUAUAUAUAUAUAUCAGAAAAUAAUUUAUCUUGAACACAAAAAUUAAAAAUUAGCACAAAAUAAGGACAUAAGUGCAAUAUAUGUAUAUAUAUGUGUUAUCAGAAAGUUAUUUAUCUCGAACACAAAAACUAAAAAUUAGCACAAAAUAAGGUCAAAAGUGCAAAAAUUUUAUACUUUCGCUCUCCCGACUCAAGCUAAUACGUUAAAAAUUAAUGGGAAAAUUAUACAUAAUAGUAAAUAUUUAGCCUGUAUUAGGUGAUAUAGCUAUAGUUUUAGAAAAUUGUAAUUCGCGGCUAUAAUUUUUUCAAUUCUUGCUAUUGACCUGAUUUGUAUAAUUCGCAUAAUUUGUAUAAAUCUAGAAUUUGUAUAAUUCGGUUCCUAAUAGUAAAAAUCUAGAAUUGUGUAUAUGUUUACCCUAGUUAUUUGUAUACGAUUUAUUAUUUAUAAUAAAUUACCUUGUUUGUAUAUUGACAAGCGAAAUAUAUAAAUGGAGUUCUGAAAAAUUCAUAAAUGUAUAAUACAUAAUUUGUAUAUAUUUAUCCUAUUGGUAUAUUCACAAGCGAAAUAUACAAACGUGCAGAAAUAUACAAACCACAGCCUCCAUAUCAAACAGAACUAUAGCUAUGGAGCGCAGUUAUUAGAGCUUUAUUAUGUUUGCUAUUUCUAAAAUUUUCUCAAAAUUAAAAUAGACUAUGUUUUUCGGUCUUAUUUCAAUAGGCUCAUAUGGUAUAUAAUUUGAAAGCUUAGGUUUUUUUGUUUUUUUAUAUCAAUAUUCUUUCAACUUAGCCGAUUGACAAUUAAUUAAAUCGAUGACAAAAAUAUUGAUUUCGUAAAUUUGAGUGAUGAAAAUCAAAUUAGAAAAGUAACUAACAAAUGGAAUAUUUUAUGUUAGUGAAUGAAUGAAAUUAUAGGCCUCUUAAUUACAAGAUUUAGAUAAUCUUCUUUCUUUUGAAUUAAUUUUUGAGGUGUGAAUUAUACUCAAAAUAUAAUUUAACAUGACAUUAAAGACAAACCUGAUGUGGGCUCCCAGGAAACCAAACAAUUGCGGAGGUGGAAAUUAUUUUCUAUUCAUGAAUGUGAGCAUGUGACACACCGAAUUGGAUCAUGAAAUCUCAUAUAAAGAAUUUGGAUUUGUACGGUAUAUAUGAGGAUAAUAAUGAAAGAAAUGUCUCACAUCAAUGAUAAAUAAAAUCCUAAGCUUCGUUGUUCAACAAGUGAAUUCAAAUUUUUAGAUUCUUUAAUAUCUUGAUGUUAAACUAAAAAAUAUUGGUUUAUAAUUACUCUUAAUUAUUUAAUUUUUUGUCGGUUUGCUUCACGGGUGUGAUUAGCAAGGGAUAAUCAUUCAUUUUGUGGCAUGUAUAAUUAAUAAUUACUAGUGUAUUUGUCCGCGCUUUGCGUGUGUAUAAAAAAAUAUUAAAUAUAUUUUUAAAUAAUUAAUGUUAUUAUUUGAUAAAUAUUCUAAUAAAUAAUAUAAUAAAAGGGAGAAACACAAAUUAAGUUACGAUUUUGAUAUUAUCUAUUCAGAAAAAUUGUUAAAAAAGUUUCAUGCUACAGUUUCAAUUUAAAAUUGCUGAUAAAAAGAUGAAAAUAUAAAAUUGAUAUGAAAAGCUUUAGUUAAAUAAACAAUCUAAUUAUCAUAGUUUCAUACUAAAUUUCAUGAUUUUAUAGCAAUAUUAUUGAUUCAACCAUUAAUAUUAAAUCUACUUUAUCGUAAAUUAUGUGACUUUCUUUUUUUGUAUAAAUGACUAUAUAAUAGAAAUAAGAAAAUCAAAAUAUAUUUGUGCUAAAUCAUCGUGAGGGAAAAAAUAUUUGAAUUAUAUUCGAACAUAGUUAUACACAAAAUUCAAAAGUUAGAGAUUUUUUUUCGAUAUCCGAUGCUCAUAGUGACACUCAUUUGAUACAUAUUUGUGUCGCAUAAUGAUAUCCGAUGCACGUAGUGACACUCAUUUGAUACAUAUUUGUGUCGCAUAAGAUCCAUUAAUAUUUUAAUUUAUAUUUAAACUUUCAUUCUUAUAGUGUGCAUUGUGAAAAGAGAUACUUAAGUUGCUACAGUGAAACAUUACCGUUGAGGUUAUACUUUUACAAUAAAAAUUAAAUUAAAUUAAACACAUAAUUUUGUCGUAUUAAGAUUAUCAGAUAGUGAUGAAGAAAUAAUUUUUUUACAAAAGAUAUGAGUAUGUAGUGUUCAAGAUGUAGAAAAAGUAUCAAGAGUUAGAUAAAUUUUUUCAAUUUAUAUAUAUAUGUGGGACAAUAAAAGUUUAACAACAUCAAAAUAAUUAUUCCUAUUAUUACAAUUUUAUUGUUGUAAUUAUUAUAAAUAAAUUGGAGCAAUAACUCUCCAAAAGAUAACUCCAUUUUUUGAUGUGGGAAAAAUAAAAUAUUUUUUUUACUUUCAAUAAUAAUAAAUUUAAACACAAAUUUGUUAUUAAAGGAAUUAAAUGAUGAAAUUUAAAAAAUUUCUUGAUAAAUAAGAGAGUUGAAUAAAUUAUUUUUUAGUAUAUAUAUACACACACUUGAUUAUUUUUAGGGAAAAGGGUCAAAAAUAUUCUCAAUUUUAGUUUAUUAGUUAAAUAUACCCCUAUCGUUGAAACAAAGUUAUUCAUACCAUCACCGUUACUAAUUUCACCAUUUAUACCCCUCAAUUUACGGAAAUUCCUAAAUCAAACAAAAUUGACCCGAUUUCUUAAAAAAUGACUCAUUUUCCAUUUUAAACCUAUGACCGACCCAUCUAUCUAUCUUAAACCCAAAAGAAUUUAACCCAUUUUCUAUACCCAUUCUAAAAAGAAAAUUCAUUUGGAGCUACUUGGGAGAAUGAAUUAUAGGUGACAAAAAAGUGUUGAAAUGUAAAAAGAGUGACUCUAGUUUUAAUUAUUAAGUGUACGUGACAAAUUUUUAAUUAAUUUUUAAAAAUAAUUAUAUAGGUCCUCAAGUUUUUAUUUUUACACUUUCACCCAAAUUUAAGUAAACCCCUAAUUUCUAAAAUAGGAAAACCCCCAAAUCAGUUCUUUUUUGUUCUCUCCCAACGUCCCGCUCUUUUCACAUUUUUUUUGCUUCUAAUCUUCAUCACUAGGCGUGACCUGACUUCAAAGACAUUGUCGAGCAGCACCUAAACACACAAAAAUCGAUCCGAUCUAAGCACUUUUAGACGAGUAUGAUGACUCUACUAAUGGAGGAAAGAGAAGAAGGAGAGUGGCAUCGUGGUCGGCCAUGGCCGUUUCCGAAGCAAACUGUCGUCGCCGGAGCUCGAAGCAGACAAUUGGAGAGAAUCAAAGACAUAGAUUUUACCCAAAUAAUUAUAACAAAAAAAAUUAAACCAAUAAAAGAAAAUUCACAACCCCACCCCCUGUAAUGUCUUCCUCAAAGAUCCUACUCAUUUGCAGAAACAUCUACACACCCCAUCCUUCCCUCUAAUUUUUUUCUCCAAACUCUCCAAUUCCUUUUAGUGCGCACACACCUACACACUAUUUCUUUUUUCAUCAUUUUAGUGUAGUAUCUUUAUUCACUAUUAUUAGAAUUUAACUUUGUAAGGGAAUUGGUGAGAUAGGUAAAUGUGCUUCUCACAAAGAUGUCUGCUUUUUGCAGUCAUGCGAAGAGGCAGCGAUGAUGAUGUUCACUUUUUGAGCUAGCUAACUUUGGAAUCUGGAGAAAAAUAAUUUAAAAGGAAGAAUAAAAAAAGUUUGUAGAAAUGGUGGCUAAAGGGUAAGGAAAAUGAGUUAAAUUAUUUUGGGUUUAAGAUAGAUAGAUGGGUCAGGCAUGGGUUUAAAAUGGGAAAUAGGUCAUUUUUUAAUAAAUCGGGUCAAUUUUAUUUGAUUUGGGGAUUUCUGUCAAUUGAGGGGUAUAAACGGUGAAAUUAAUAACGGUGAGGGUAUAAAUAACUUUGUUUUAACGGUAUGGGUAUAUUCAACUAAUAAACUAAAAUUGAGGGGUAUUUUUGACCCUUUUCCCAUAUUUUUAUAAUGCCUUUAUUUAUAGGAUAACAAUAUAAAAUAUCAAAUGAUAUCAUGAACAUGACUAUUAAUAUGAUUUAAGAGAUAUGAUCAAGUCAUGAAAGUAAGGAAAAUAAAGACAAUUAAAUAUCAAAUGAUAUUAUGAACAUAAUUAUUAAUAUAAUUUAGGAGUUAUGAUCAUCAAAAGUCAUGAAAAUAAAAACAAUUAAAAUUUUCUAUUAAAAAAUAUAAAUAAAUGAAGGAAUAUAAUUGACAUAUUCAUUUUUGUACAACAAUAAGAUAUAUAUAAAUAAGAAAAAUUAUCAAAAAAUGAGAAAAAAAGAAGAUAAAUAUGAUUCUUGGCCAAAAAAAUGUGUCACGUCACUUUUCUUUUAUCUAGAUAAUUUAUAUGUUGGUAAAGAAAGUAGAUUGAGAGAGAAAAACAAUUUUACUAAGUCGUUUAUAUCCUAAUCAAGUCUAAAAAUACCCCUCAUUCAUCUAUUGAGCUAAAAAUACCCCUCCAUCCACCUUUUUGGUCCAUCUCUACCCCUUAAAAACUAACAACUACUUUUUAAAAAUUAUUAUUAUUAUUAUUUGUUACGUGUCAUUUUCUUAUUGGAUAAUUAAAUCUCAACCCAUUUAAUUUUCCCCUACCCACCCAUUGUAGUGAACAUGAUCAAACCCAAUUAGAAGACCCAUUAAAAAUAAUUGAUUGAAACUUUCUCCCCUAACCCCAAGCCUCUUUCUUCUUCCCUCUUUUCUUAUUCAAAAAUUUCAAGAUAAUAUUCAAUCAAAUAAUACAAUUUCCGCUGCAAUACUAACUUGAAGUUGAAGGAUUCAAGGAGUAUUGAUUUUUGCAGUCUUCUUUCCAUCACGUAAAAAAAACUACACCAAAAUCUAUCAAAAUUGCACCUGAGCUAUAACAAAACAGAAGCAAACCUGCACCUAUAUUAUACCACAAACUAAAUCAAAACUGUAAAGAAACAGAGGCCAAAAGGCAAUGAAAGUGCACCAUAAUGAGAUUAAAAACUGGACCAAAAUUUGAUGAUAAACAGCACCAAAGCUGGUCCAAAAACGAAAAUAAAAGUGGUUCAAAUUUACUUUAUUAACGAUGGAAUACAUUACAAUGAAAUUUACGAAUUAUUCCAACUCCUUAAACGUAAGAAUAUUAAUCAAACUAAACACAAUUUCACUAUCAUACCAACAAUAAUAGUAAUUAUAAUUAAGAACAUUAUACUAACUAGACACCAUCAACAAAUUUUCAUAUCAUACACUUAUCUAGAUUGCAUUGGACAUUGUAUCAUUUGAUUGAAAGUAGUCUAGAAAUAUUUUGAAUAAGAAAAGAGGGAAGAAGAAAGAGGCUUGGGGUUAGGGGAGAAAGAUUCAAUCAAUUUAUUUUUUAAUGGGUCUUCUAAUUGGGUUUGGGUCAUGUUCACUACAAUGGGUGGGUAGGGGAAAAUUAAAUGGGUUGAGAUUUAAUUUAUCCAAUAGGAAAAUGACAUGUAACAAAUAAUAAUAAUAAUUUUUUAAAAAAAAGUGAUUGUUAGUUUUAAGGGUAAAGAUGGACCAAAAAAGUGGAUGGAGGGGUAUUUUUUAGCCCAAUAGAUGAAUGAGGUAUAUUUUGUCGAGGGGGUUCGGGUGAACACUCUCCCUCCCUUGAUUUGCUCAUUGAUACUAUUAUUGUUAGUGCAAGAGGAAACUGCUAGGGAAGUUGCCUAUGAUCUAUGUUGGAGCAGAUGGGAUAUAAGAUUUUGAUUUGAUGGGUUCAAUUUUUAGAUUCUCAUCAUUGAGCCCGUUAUACUUUGAAAUUAUGGUGGGUUCAUGAUAUUAUAUUAUUAAUUAAAAUUUUAGUGAUUUUUCACAUAUACUUUUAUGAUCUGUGUCAAAAAUGCAAAGCUUAUACUUAUAUUCGCCAUCCGCCCUGUGUAACUGAACAUAUUACUGUUUAUCUUCCAUGUAGCAGUGAUCCUAAAACCUUUCCUUAUNNNNNNNNNNNNNNNNNNNNNNNNNNNNNNNNNNNNNNNNNNNNNNNNNNNNNNNNNNNNNNNNNNNNNNNNNNNNNNNNNNNNNNNNNNNNNNNNNNNNGUUAUUCAGCUGAAGAGGUUAGUUUUACCUUAGAAUUGAUCUUGUGAACAAGAUCAUCAUAGUUUUGAGAAGUUGGGCUAUGUGCUAUUGGAAAUGGAAUAAAUUCGUAAGGGACAUCAUAUUUCAAAGAUAAGAUGACUUCUUUGAAGACAUCUGGCCCUAAACCAGUUGUAAUUACUGCUUGUGUCGUUGGAUCUCUUUCCACUUUAAUGAAUUGCUCCAGCCCUCCUUUGUCUGGAACUCCAACCCUUAACUUCUUCCCACUUGUGGGUAUUUCCCAGCCUCUCGGAACAAUAGUAGAUUCACCAGGCCAAAUGAUGACCCCUAGUUGCUUAUUAUUAGUUUUAGCUGUUUUACCAUUCAUCUUCAGUUUAUGCGAAAUGCCAUCCUUCUCUGUCCAGAAUCCAACGACUUUCUCUCCUUUCCCGAUUAUAUUCACAAUCUGAUAUGGGUACGGCUGCAGUUCUCUAUCAAUGAUACGGAAAUCACCACUUAGUCCUGGUUUUAGCUCUGUGUUUUGCAUAGAGUCAAUGAGCAGAGAUCCCACUUCUGAGGUUCUAAGUGCAUCUAGGUCUGUUAAGUUCUCUCUAGUGUCUGGUUUCUUUAAUUUUGGGAUAGCAGUAGUGCCCACUUUCUCUACUGCUUCUGCUAAUAAGGUGAUGCUAUCAUAUGCCCAUAGCCCGAAAACAUUGAGUUCUACUUGGUCCAUGUCUGGAUACUCUUGACGAAAUCUCUUUCUCCAUCUCUUGGUGAACAUGUCAAGCUCAUUUGAUCUUGUAACAUAAGAUUUUACACCCAGAACACCUUGCAUUGAUGACUCAAUUACUGAAGUAUCUACCAGGUUCCAUAGGGGCUUUCCUCAUAGAUUACUACAACCUCCCUCCAAUUAUAGUUUUUAACAAUUGCUGCAAUGGCUUUAGUCUGACUGGAAGAAGGAAGUGCUCCUCUGAUGAAGAAGGGAUUUUCCUUGACUGUAAGUAAAGGACUUGUUGCUGGAGAAAUUAUAGGGACUUUUACUCUGUUCCCUAAGUCGAUCACAAAAUCAGUUUGAGUAGACAUUUGUGGCCCAAAGAUAGCUUGCACUUGGACAUCCUUUAGCAAGUAUAUGGCUGCACAUACACAAUCAGACUUAUAAGUAAUUGUCUGAACAUCUNNNNNNNNNNNNNAAAUUUAUUUGUGAAAUUUGCAUAAAUAGCAAUCUUUUUUAUUUUAAGAUGAGUGGAACUUUUUUUUUUUUUGGCUUUUUCUAAUUGUUAAUCUUAUAUAUUUUUUAAAUUUAUUUGUGAAAUUUGCAUAAAUAGCAAUCUUUUUUAUUUUAAGAUGAGUGGAACUUUUUUUUUUUUUGGCUUUUUCUAAUUGUUAAUCUUAUAUAUUUUUUAAAUUUAUUUGUGAAAUUUGCAUAAAUAGCAAUCUUUUUUAUUUUAAGAUGAGUGGAACUUCUUCUUUUUUUUUUUGCCUUUUCUAAUUGUUAAUCUUAUAUAUUUUUUAAUUUAUUUGUGAAAUUUGCAUAAAUAGCAAUCUUUUUUAUUUUAAGAUGAGUGGAACUUCUUCUUUUUUUUUUUGCCUUUUCUAAUUGUUAAUCUUAUAUAUUUUUUAAUUUAUUUGUGAAAUUUGCAUAAAUAGCAAUCUUUUUUAUUUUAAGAUGAGUGGAACUUCUCUUCUUUUUUUUUUUUUGCUUUUUCUAAUUGUUGAUCUUAUAUUUUUUUAAUUAAUUUUUAUUUGUGAGGUUUGCAUAAAUAGCCGAAGAGGUUCAAACCCACAACUCUAGCAUGGGAAAGCAUUCCCAAGACCCCUUCCUUACCACUAAGCCAUCAAUUAGUUUUGCUAAGGGGUUCACAAGUUAAUAUACAUAUAUAUUUAUUUAAUUUUUUAAUACAAGUAUAGAGUUUACAUAAAAGCUAUUGGGUUCGCCCGAACCCCCACUAAGAUAGGCAUAAAAGUAUCAAUACAUUUAUUUUUAUGAAGGUAAAUACCAUUAGAUGUAACUUUUCAAGAAUGAAAACAUGUAUUAAAACAAAACUGAAAAGAGUAAUAACAUAAGUGAGAAAAAAAGACAAGAAAUGUAGAGAGACAAGAGAGAGUUUUCUUAUUCUUCCAAGUAUAUUCAAGUGUUUUCCAAAUCUUCAAGUGCAUAAUACAAUCUCAAGACCUCUAUUUAUAUUGUUAUAAAAAGACAUACAAAGAGAUAACAAUAAACAUGAUAUUAAUUUUUGAGAAUGUAGGGAAGAUCAAGGGGUGUAGAAGAUAAAUGAGGAGAUGGUGAAGGUGUGAGUAUUAUUACAUAUAAUGGUGAAAUUACACCUUGAAGUUAUGGACAUCCACAUUAAUAUAAUAUAUUUACAACAAAACAUUAAUUACAUAUAAAUUAUAACUAAAUUAAAAAUGAUGAGAAAAACAUAAAAAUGCCCCCAAAAAAGGAGAAAAAAAUUAAAUAUGAAUAGAGAUCAUAGAGAGGUGUCACGUCACUUUGUCUAUAUCUAGCUUUAUUUUUAUUUUAUAUAUAUAUAUAUAUAUAUAUAUAAGAAUAGAGGUCAUAGCCUAUAUCUAGCUUUAUUAUAUAUAUAGAUUUUUCUUCAGUUUUUGUUGGUUUUCUCUUUUUAAAUUUAUUUAUGUAAUACGUAAUAAUAAUAAUAAUAAAAGAGCCUUAUUUUCCCCCAAUUUUCAUUGGUUUUUUCUUUUUUAAAAUUUAUUUAUGUAAAUAUAUUCUUUUUAAAAUUUAUUUAUGUAAUUUUAUUUUUUUUGGAAUAUUUUUAUAUCUAUUAUAUUUUUAAUAGCUCAAAAAAUAUUAAUUCAAUUGAAUGAAAAGAGAAAAUCGGGUUAUUUUAAUCAAAAUUGAACAAUUUGAGUUGAUUUGGGGCUUUCCGUCAAAUGAGGGGUAUAUAUGGUGAAAUUAGUAACGGUAGGGAAAAAACUAACUUCACUUUAACGGUAAAAGCAUAGUUUACCAAUAAAACAAAAUUAAGGGGUGUUUUUGACCCUUUUCCCUUAUCUUUUUCAUAGGUAGCAGUGGAUACUGGAUACAUUUGUUAAAGUCAUAUACUCAAUAAUAUAGUAAUUUUUGUUUAUAUUUUUUAUGAACUAAUGAAAUUGCAAGAAUUAUCACUUAAUAAGCGAGUUUUCAAUUUUUGUUCUUCAACGGUCGAAUUUAUAUCUAGUAAAAUAUAUAUUCUGUAAAGGAGAAAAGUCAUGUAAGGCAUAAGUUGCGGAUAUUAUAAUGCAAGUAUGUAUAUAUAUAUAUCAGAAAAUAAUUUAUCUUGAACACAAAAAUUAAAAAUUAGCACAAAAUAAGGACAAAAGUGCAAUAUUUGUAUAUAUAUGUGUUAUCUGAAAGUUAUUUAUCUUGAACACAAAAAUUAAAAAUUAGCACAAAAUAAGGACAUAAGUGCAAUAUAUGUAUAUAUAUGUGUUAUCAGAAAGUUAUUUAUCUCGAACACAAAAACUAAAAAUUAGCACAAAAUAAGGUCAAAAGUGCAAAAAUUUUAUACUUUCGCUCUCCCGACUCAAGCUAAUACGUUAAAAAUUAAUGGAAAAAUUAUACAAAAUAGUAAAUAUUUAGCCUGUAUUAGGUGAUAUAGCUAUAGUUUUAGAAAAUUGUAAUUUGCGGCUAUAAUUUUUUCAAUUCUUGCUAUUGACCUGAUUUGUAUAAUUCGCAUAAUUUGUAUAAAUCUAGAAUUUGUAUAAUUCGGUUCCUGAUAGUAAAAAUCCAGAAUUUUGUAUAUGUUUACCCUAGUUAUUUGUAUACGAUUUAUUAUUUAUAAUAAAUUACCUUGUUUGUAUAUUGACAAGCGAAAUAUAUAAAUGGAGUUCUGAAAAAUUCAUAAAUGUAUAAUACAUAAUUUGUAUAUAUUUAUCCUAUUGGUAUAUUCGCAAGCGAAAUAUACAAACCACAGCCUCCAUAUCAAACAGAACUAUAGCUAUGGAGCGCAGUUAUUAGAGCUUUAUUAUGUUUGCUAUUUCUAAAAUUUUCUCAAAAUUAAAAUAGACUAUGUUUUUCGGUCUUAUUUCAAUAGGCUCAUAUGGUAUAUAAUUUGAAAGCCUAGGUUUUUUUUGUUUUUUUAUAUCAAUAUUCUUUCAACUUAGCCGAUUGACAAUUAAUUAAAUCGAUGACAAAACUAUUGAUUUCGUAAAUUUGAGUGAUGAAAAUCAAAUUAGAAAAGUAACUAACAAAUGAAAUAUUUUAUGUUAGUGAAUGAAUGAAAUUAUAGGCUUCUUAAUUACAAGAUUUGGAUAAUUUUCUUUCUUUUGAAUUAAUUUUUAAAGUGUGAGUUGUACUCAAAAUCUAAUUUAACAUGACAUUAAAGACAAACCUGAUGUGGGCUCCCAGGAAACCAAACAAUUGCGGAGGUGGAAAUUAUUUUCUAUUCAUGAAUGUGAGCAUGUGACACACCGAAUUGGAUCAUGAAAUCUCAUAUAAAGAAUUUGGAUUUGUACGGUAUAUAUGAGGAUAAUAAUGAAAGAAAUGUCUCACAUCAAUGAUAAAUAAAAUCCUAAGCUUCGUUGUUCAACAAGUGAAUUCAAAUUUUUAGAUUCUUUAAUAUCUUGAUGUUAAACUAAAAAAUAUUGGUUUAUAAUUACUCUUAAUUAUUUAAUUUUUUGUCGGUUUGCUUCACGGGUGAGCAUGUAUAAUUAAUUACUAGUGUACUUGUCCGCGCUUCGCGUGUGUAUAAGAAAAUAUUAAAUAUAUUUUUAAAUAAUUAAUGCCAUUAUUUGAUAAAUAUUCUUAUAAAUAAUAUAAUAAAAGGGAGAAAUACAAAUUAAGUUACGAUUCUGAUAUUAUCUAUUCAGAAAAAUUGUUAAAAAAGUUUCAUGCUACAGUUUCAAUUUAAAAUUGCUGAUAAAAAAGAUGAAAAUAUAAAAAUUGAUAUGAAAAGCUUUAGUUAAAUAAACAAUCUAAUUAUCAUAGUUUCAUACUAAAUUUCAUGAUUUUAUAGCAAUAUUAUUGAUUCAACCAUUAAUAUUAAAUCUACUUUAUCGUAAAUUAUGUGACUUUUCUUUUUUUGUAUAAAUGACUAUAUAAUAGAAACAAGAAAAUCAAAAUAUAUUUGUGCUAAAAUCAUCGUGAGGGAAAAAAUAUUUUGAAUUAUAUUCGAACAUAGUUAUACACAAAAUUCAAAAGUUAGAGAUUUUUUUUCGAUAUCCGAUGCUCAUUUUUUUUUUGAUAUCCGAUGCACGUAGUGACACUCAUUUGAUACAUAUUUGUGUCGCAUAAGAUCCAUUAAUAUUUUAAUUUAUAUUUAAACUUUCAUUCUUAUAGUGUGCAUUGUGAAAAGAGAUACUUAAGUUGCUACAGUGAAACAUUACCGUUGAGGUUAUACUUUUACAAUAAAAAUAAAAUAAAAUUAAACACAUAAUUUUGUCGUAUUAAGAUUAUCAGAUAGCGAUGAAGAAAUAUUUUUUUUUAAAAAAAAAUGAGUAUGUAGUGUUCAAGAUGUAGAAAAAGUAUCAAGAGUUAGAUAAAUUUUUUCAAUUUAUAUAUAUAUAUGGGACAAUAAAAGUUUAACAACAUCAAAAUAAUUAUUCCUAUUAUUACAAUAUUAUUGUUGUAAUUAUUAUAAAUAAAUUGGAGCAAUAACUCUCCAAAAGAUAACUCCAUUUUUUGUAUGUGGGAAAAUAAAAUAAUUUUUUUACUUUUCAAUAAUAAUAAAUUUUAAACACAAAUUUGUUAUUAAGAGAAUCAAAUGAUGAAAUUUAAAAAAUUUACUUGAUAAAUAAGAGAGUUGAAUAAAUUAUUUUUUAGUAUAUAUAUAUAUACACACACACUUGAUUAUUUUUAGGGAAAAGGGUCAAAAAUAUCCUCAAUUUUAGUUUAUUAGUUAAAUAUACCCCUAUCGUUGAAACAAAGUUAUUCAUACCAUCACCGUUACUAAUUUCUCCAUUUAUACCCCUCAAUUGACGGAAAUCCCUAAAUCAAACAAAAUUGACUCGAUUUCUUAAAAAAUGACUCAUUUUCCAUUUUAAAACCAUGUCCGACCCAUCUAUCUAUCUUAAACCCAAAAGAAUUUAACCCAUUUUCUAUACCCAUUCUAAAAAGAAAAUUCAUUUGGAGCUACUUCUCCAAUUGCGUUUUAGGUGACAAAAAAGUGUUGAAAUGUAAAAAGAGUGACUCUAGUUUUAAUUAUUAAGUGUAGGUGACAAAUUUUUAAUCAAUUUUUAACAAUAAUUAAAUAAGUCCUCAAGUUUUUGUUUUUACACUUUCAUUUUUUGGAGCAAUAAUUUUGUUNNNNNNNNNNNNNNNNNNNNNNNNNNNNNNNNNNNNNNNNNNNNNNNNNNNNNNNNNNNNNNNNNNNNNNNNNNNNNNNNNNNNNNNNNNNNNNNNNNNNNNUGACUUCAAAGACAUUGUCGAGCAGCACCUAAACACACAAAAAUCGAUCCGAUCUAAGCACUUUUAGACGAGUAUGAUGACUCUACUAAUGGAGGAAAGAGAAGAAGGAGAGUGGCAUCGUGGUCGGCCAUGGCCGUUUCCGAAGCAAACCGUUGUCGCCGGAGCUCGAAGCAGACAAUUGGAGAGAAUCAAAGACAUAUAUUUUACCCAAAUAAUUACAACAAAAAAAAUUAAACCAAUAAAAGAAAAUUCACAACCCCCACCCCCUGUAAUGUCUUCCUCAAAGAUCCUACUCAUUUGCAGAAACAUCUGCACACCCCAUCCUUCCCUCUAAUUUUUUUCUCCAAACUCUUCGAUUCGUUUUAGUGCGCACACACCUACACACUAUUUCUUUUUUCAUCAUUUUAGAGUAGUAUCUUUAUUCACUAUUAUUAGAAUUUAACUUUGUAAGGGAAUUGGUGAGAUAGGUAAAUGUGCUUCUCACAAAGAUGUCUGCUUUUUGCAGUCAUGAGAAGAGGCAGCGAUGAUGAUGUUCACUUUUUGAGUUAGCUGACUCUGGAAUUUGGGGAAAAUAAUUUAAAAGGAAGAGUAAAAAAAGUUUGUAGAAAUGGUGACUAAAGGGCAAGGAAAAUGAGUUAAAUUAUUUUGGGUUUAAGAUAGAUGGAUGGAUCAGGCAUGGGUUUAAAAUGGGGGAUGGGUCAUUUUUUAACAAAUCGGGUCAAGUUUGUUUGAUUUGGGGAUUUCUGUCAAUUGAGGGGUAUAAAUGGUGAAAUUAAUAACGACGAGGGUAUAAAUAACUUUGUUUUAACGGUAUGGGUAUAUUCAACUAAUAAACUAAAAUUGAGGGGUAUUUUUGACCCUUUUCCCAUAUUUUUAUAAUGCCUUUAUUUAUAGGAUAACAAUAUAAAAUAUCAAAUGAUAUCAUGAACAUGACUAUUAAUAUGAUUUAAGAGAUAUGAUCAAGUCAUGAAAGUAAGGAAAAUAAAGACAAUUAAAUAUCAAAUGAUAUUAUGAACAUAAUUAUUAAUAUAAUUUAGGAGUUAUGAUCAUCAAAAGUCAUGAAAAUAAAAACAAUUAAAAUUUUCUAUUAAAAAAUAUAAAUAAAUGAAGGAAUAUAAUUGACAUAUUCAGUUUUGUACAACAAUAAGAUAUAUAUAAAUAAGAAAAAUUAUCAAAAAAUGAGAAAAAAAGAAGAUAAAUAUGAUUCUUGGCCAAAAAAAUAUGUCACGUCACUUUUCUUUUAUCUAGAUAAUUUAUAUGUUGGUAAAAAAAGUAGAUUGAGAGAGAAAAACAAUUUUACUAAGUCGUUUAUAUCCUAAUCAAAUACUUUUGCAUUUUGAGUUCAGACCAGGUCAUAGCAGUAAUUUCUGAAAUUUCAAAAACUUAAGAACUUAUAACAAUAACAAUAAAAAAAAUUAAAAUAUGAAGAUCACAAAGUUACGUAUUAAUAGUUAAAAAAAAUUUAUGAAUUAAACUGUAUUUUGAAAAUUAAUUAACUUUAACAUUCUCAUAUUCUAUCAUUCAUCUAUUGGGCUAAAAAUACCCUUGAAGUAUUAGAAAAGGUCUAAAAAUACCCCUCCAUCCGCCUUUUUGGUCCAUCUCUAUCCUUAAAACUAACAGUCACUUUUAAAAAAAUUAUUAUUAUUAUUAUUUGUUACAUGUCAUUUUCUUAGUGGAUAAAUUAAAUCCCAGCCCAUUUAAUUUUCCCCUACCCACCCAUUGUAGUGAACAUGAUCAAACCCAAUUAGAAGACCCAUUAAAAAAUAAAUUGAUUGAGAUUUAAUUUAUCCAAUAGGAAAAUGACAUGUAAUAAAUAAUAAUAAUAAUAAUAAAAAAUUAAAAAGUGGUUGUUAGUUUUAAAGGUAGAGAUGGACCAAAAAAGUGGAUGGAGGGGUAUUUUUAGCCCAAUAGAUGAAUGAAUGGUAUUUUUAGACCUUUUCAAAUAAUUCAAGGGUAUUUUUGGCCCUUUUCUGUAAUUAAUAAAAAGUUGAUCCACAUAACUAUAAAAUUAUAUCUACAUACUUUCUUCAGUAGCAUACAUAUACAUGUAUAAGGGUGUAUAAAACCGAAUCGAAAACCUAACCAAACCGCAAACCGAGUCAACCCGGAAAAAAAACCCGAACUAGUGGUUUGGUUUUUGAAAAAAAAAACCCCGAACUAUAUUUGGGAUUGGUUUGGUUUUAACUAAAAAAAACCAACCCGACAUUAUAUAUAUAAUUUUAAAAUUUUAUUUUAUACAUAAAAAUAUUUACUUUGAUAUAAUUUUUAAAUAUUUCUUAUACUUUUUCAUAAUUUUUUAUCUUUUAUUAUAUUAUUUCAAGUUUUGAAACUUAGAAUUAUGAAUGGGCCAAUAAAAAUUAUAGUUCACAGAUGUUGGUAAUUGCCUAAUUAUAAUAAAGCUUAAAUCAAAAUUAAAUUAAUACUAAUGCAAAAAUAAAAUCAUUUCAACACGACAAUAAUAUUGAAUAUUUGUUCUUUAGUUUUACAUUGGUUUAGACAAUUAAAAUACAUAACCUAAUUUAAUUUCCUUUAAAUAUUUAGUCAUGUAACUAAUACUUAUUAAAUUUAUUUUUAGCAUGCUUUAGUACUUUUAAAUUAUGAUCAUUUUCAUUAUGACUUGUUAAUUUGCAAUAUUUGUUUUACACGAUUUCAUUAUUAUUAUUAUUUUUGUUGGAUAUUUUAGUGUCAUUAAUCAUAUUAUAUUGUAGUAUAUUUUUAAGAAACAUCUUAGAUAGUUGUAGUUUGGUAUGGCUAAAGAAAUAUUUGAAGUACAAGUAAAUUAUAUGUUUGUAUGAAUACUUUACCGAAACAACCCAAAAAACCGAAAAAACCUGAAAAACCCAAGGUUGAAAAACCCGAGUUUUAUUGGUUUGGUUUAUAAAUAUAAAAAUCCAACACAAAUGGUUUGGUUUGAUAUUUGAAAAACCCGAACCAACCCGACCAUGUACACCCCUAUACAUGUAUAUGUUAACUUCUUAUUCUACUUUGUUGAAUUAUAUCCUCAGCAUAAGUAGUGAAGACAAAACAAAGUAAUAAUAAAAUGACGGAAUGACCUGGGAGACCCAUGUACUUAGCUCCGUUUGUAAGUUGAACCCUCCUACUUAUCAAUUUGUCAACUGAACCCCUAAACCCAUCAGAACACAAUAUUUUAAACCCAUUUGACCAUUAACCGAACUUAUGUAGCAUUGAUAAUGCUGAGUUGGAAAAUUACGUAAUUACAUACGUUUGACAGUGAGUAAAUAAGGUAUUUUACAUUAAAAAUAUUUAAAUAAUAAUAAUCAAUUUAAAAAAAAUAAUUAAAAACCCAUCUUCCUCAACCAUCCCUCUCCAACCCCACUCCACCCCUCUCUCCUCCGUCCGAACCCAUAAACUCAUCAUAACACAAUAUUUUAAACCUCUUAGACCAUUGACUGAACUUAUGUAGCAUUGAUAAUGCUGAGUUGGGAAAUUACGUGAUUACAUGCGUUUGACAGCAAGUAAAUAAGGUAUUUUAAAUUAAAAAUAGAGUAAAGACAUAAAUACACCAUCAAAGUUGUCCCGUAUUUUCAUAAUGACACCUUAACUUUUAAAGUGUCCUAUCACACCACAGAACUAUUUAAUAUCUUUGUAAAUGGGCCAUUUUGACCCAUUCCCUCGUCUAUUUAGUGGCGCGUGUUGCUCACUCCCUAUGAUGAGAAAAGACCCGACCCGACCCUGUUCUUUGAAGAAAGUCAUUUCUCCUUUUCUUUUCUUAUUUCUCAACUUUCCCUAAAAUCUAAAGAAAUAGAAAAGUUUUCUCAACAACUUUAAGUAUGAGUGAAAUAGGUCUAAAAAUAGAGGAGAUUAGAUAAAGGAUUCAAUCCAAUUACUUUGGAAGUGGGUCCUGAAUCUUUGUUGCAUCAUUGCAGCUUCGAGGGAUCCUAAGUUUCCAUACACUAAGAACCAUUGAUUCUUAGGUGAAGUAAUACAAUGGCCGGUUUAAAACACGGGGCAAGAUCUAGUACAGGUGUAAGGGUUGAUUAACAUAUUAAGCAUGCAUGGAUUAAUACUUCUCUACACCGCAUAGAAUCUCAAUUUCCAGGAGCACACAACAUGAUGGAAGCGGAGCCCUCCCCAUUGGACAAAAUGAAAAAAUAAAUGUUAAUGCUGUUAUACCCCAUUUUAACUCGAGGUCAAAACGGUGUACGACAUUUUGGUGAUUUCCAAAUUAAUUAACUUAAGAAGUCGCCACCUAAUUAAUUACGGUGAAUUAGGACACCUAAAUAUUGAACUAAGUAAUACUAAAAUGACUUCAAUUAAAAGGUCUACUAAACUUAAGAUUCUAGGUAAGGGUUCUAAUUAUCCUAAAGGGAAGGGGUAAGGCAUCCUUUAAGAUCCAUUAAAGACGGUUACCGGCCAAACUUAGGUUAAUUAAUUUUAAAAGAAAGAUAUGAGUGUUAAAUAUUAAGUGAUUGAAUAACCAAGUUGGAAAACAUUUUUUACUUUAAAAGCACUUUUGCAAUUUAUUAGAAUGAAAAAGAUUUAAGAAAGAGUAAUUUCUUUAGAUCAAUUUAGACAAAUUCAUGGCUAAAAAAAGUAAUUAAAAAAAAAAAAAAAAAAAAAAAAGCAUUUGCUCAUUAACCGACAAGAUGCUCUCUUUAGAAAAAGUUUAAGAAAAAUAAGAGUUUAGAACAAUAUAUUUUUUCUUUGAAAGAUAUUGCCAAGUUUGAACAAAACUUAAUAAAUUAGUGAGUUUAAAAUGGUGCAAAAGAAGUGUUUUAAAAAAAAAAAGCUAAAGUAACUAUAAAGGUUGUUUCUAACUAAAGGUACCCAAACCCAAACAUCUAUAUUAAGUCAACUAUUAUGAAUCCGAACUAGAAAUAUAUAAAUCACACAAGCAAGUAUAAAUUGAAAGAAAACACAAACAAAUAAUGCAAAAUGUAAGUAGCGAUAGGUGACUCCAAGAUAGGACCACUUGUUUUGCUUGCAAUUUCGAAUGGUCAAAGAUGUAGUGAAGAUUCCAUGUGCGGGUGUGAGGAUAAUGUUGAGUCUAUGAGACUCGGUAAUUUGCUAGAGUCUUGAAUCAAAGACUCCAUUUUGCUCCAAAGUGUACAUGUAAAUAAAGAGAGGGUAAAAAAGAAUUGGUAAGACAAUUAAACCUUACUCGAUAUCGAAUAAACUAGAAAUAGAAUUGAGUUAAAUAGCAUAACGAAAAUACCAUCCAAAACAUGAAAACAUGCAAAUGCGAAACAAAUCUCAAAGCAAACUACUACGACGCCUUUAAGGCACAAAAAAAAACAAUACACAACCCCUCAUAUUUAAGCUACAAACGAACUACUCGUUAAAGACUUGAAUUUAAAAAAAAUACUUAUGCCAUAAGUUUUCCAGAUUUAUACAUGCUGUAAUACUAUUACUUAAACUAAAAAAAAUAAAAACAAAAUACAUACACAAUACAAUUAACAAAAGAGCACAAAACAUAAGUUAGUACUUGUAUGCAAAAAGUAAGUUGCACGAGAAUUCCUACAGACGUAACUCUUAAUAAGAGAGCACUUAGUUGCUAACCAUUUUUUAUAUAUUUUACAGUCAUCUUCCUUAAGCAUGCUAUACAUAGGAAAAUAUGAACAUUGAAAUUUUAACAUAUAAGCACACGAAAUAAAUCAUUUAAACUGAGAACGAAACAGCAACAACACAACCCAUAUAAAUCGAACUAUGAGACUAAGUCAUUAACAAAAUAUUUAAAUCCAAAGCUAAGCCAUUCUUUAAACUCAAGGUCUAGUAAAUGAGGGGAAAACAAUUUCUGAUCUGUAUAAAUCUCAAAAGGAUACAAACACAUUUUUUAACAAUCAACAUAUAAUAAUAGCGAACUAAAUAAUAUUAGUUCGAGUAGAAUUUGAGAGAAACUUAAAAGCUUAUAAGAUACAGGGUGCGAAGCUGCUGUAGUGUAUCCGCGAUUAGAGCUUAUAUUUUUUUAAAAAAAUAAUGAUAUGGUCUGUACCAUAUUUUAACUAAAACAAAACAAAUAUUAUAUUCCUUGAACACGUUUUUACAUAGGAAUGCAUACAUAUAUCAAAUGAUCAGAACUUGGAGUAAGAAUUAAUGUAUAUGACCUAAAAUACAACCAUUUCCAUGUAAUAAAUAAAUUUAUAUCUCAAACGAAAACACAAAUACAAUUAUCAAAUAACUUUGAAUACAGUUAAACUAGGCAGGAAUUACUCUCUACAUACAAAUUUGUUAGAGUAACAUAACAUUUUCCCACAGAAACAAAACAGAGGAAGAAAAAGAGAAUGUCACCUGCUAUAGGGCAGUGAACGGGGCUGUUUCGAUCAAAUGUCUAUAUUCGAACAAUAACGAACUCAAGGAAGCUUGAAACUUGAGUUUCGAUCGAGAUUUAAAGAAGGAUGCAAAGACAAUAUUUUAGAAAAGAAAAUAGUAGUUAAACAAUGCUAUGGUGCAAGGAAAAGCUUUUUAAGAAUGAAUGCCAAGGCUUCUAUGGAGGCUGAAAAAUCCUCUUUUUUUUUUUUGCUAAAGAUAUAAGGAUGUAUUUAUAGAAAAAAUUAGGGUUCUUCAUUGUGUUGAGCGGGAAUAGAUUUUGAACUUUCAAAUUAGUCAAAAAGUCUUCAAAUCCGACCGUUUGAAGCUUGAAACAGACAUCACGUGAUACCUUGGAGAAAGAGACAAGUUUUGCUUGGAAUGGACCAAGCAAAGUCUGUCCAUGGCUGAAGAGAAACGAAACUUUAGCCAAAAAUGGAGGAGAAAAGACAGACAUCGAGUAAAGAGAAAAGACCUAAAUGAUUUCGGGUCUUGAGCCAUUUUACUGAUGAAUGAACAUUGGGUUGGGCUGGUGCUAAAUUUUCUUUUGUGGGCUGAUCUGAAAGUUCCGUUGGGCCAUAUUUUGGAGUGGAUUUGGGCUCGUUUUGCUGGACCAAUUUUGGGCUGAAUUUUGAAGGUCUUUUCUCUUCUUUCUUUGUAUUAUUUUGGGCUUCUAAAUUAAUAAUUAAUACAAUAUCUAUUAUGAUAUGAUAACAACUAGAAAUUUACAUAAUAAAAAUAUCACUAAUAUAAAAUAUAUAUACGAAAUAUUAAAUAAUAAUUAAUUUAAUAAAUACGAAACUAGAAAUAAGAUGACGACAAUUGGUUAUUUAAGAAAAGAGAUGUAAAAAAGUGAUAAUAAUCAUUUCGAUAAUAAAAACCUAUAAUUUUAGUAGAUUAAUAGUUGUAAUAGUAAAAAUAGUUGUGAAAAGAGAUAAUUCGAUACAUUAUUAAUUUAGAAGCUUGAAAAUGAUAAAUUAGAAGAAAGGAGGGUCAAAAUUGGGUGUCAACAAUGUUCCCUUUGUUGUUUUCCUAAUAUUGGUAGUUGAGAUAUUGUUAGGAUAUUAUAGUUUUUCGUUGUUACAGGUUGAUCUUGCUUGGAAAAAACCAUGAAAUCAAAAAAUUAGGGCUAUUUUGGGUUUAAAAUUGGGGAAGAUGACAUAAAUUGAUUAUAUAAUUAAUAAUAAAGAAAGCUAAUGACACGUGGCACUUUUAAAUUGGUCCAUGGCAGUGAAAGCACGGAAUGACGCGCCUCACGUGCAUGGUAACAACCCAGACGAGGGAAUGGGUCAAAAUGGCCCAUUUACAAUGAUAUUAAAUAGUUCUGUGGGGUGAUAGGACACUUUGAAAGUUAAGAUGUCUUUAUGCAAAUACGGGACAACUUUGAUUGUGUCUUUAUGUCUUUUCUCUUAAAAAUAUUUAAAUAAUAAUAAUCAAUUUUAAAAAAUAAUUAAAAACCCAUCUUCCUCAACCAUCCCCCUCCCACCCCUCUCUCCUCCGUCUGAACCCCUAAACUCAUCAAAAUACAAUAUUUUAAAUCUCUUUGACCAUUGACCGAACUUAUGUAGCAUUGAUAAUGCAGAGUUGGAAAAUUACGUGAUUACACGCUUUGACAACGAGUAAAUAAGGUAUUUUAAAUUAAAAAUAUUUAAAUAAUAAUAAUCAAUUUUAAAAAAAUAAUUAAAACCCAUCUUUCUCAACCAUCCCUCUCCCAUCCUACCCCACCCCUCUCUCCUUCGUCUGAACCCCUAAACUCAUCAGAACACAAUAUUUUAAACCCCUUUGACCAUUGACCGAACUUAUGUAGCAUUGAUAAUGUUGAGUUGGAAAAUUACGUGAUUACACACGUUUGACAGAGUAAAUAAGAUAUUUUACAUUAAAAAUAUUUAAAUAAUAAUAAUCAAUUUAAAAAGGAUAAUUAAAAAUGCAUCUUCCUCAACCAUCCCUCUCCCACACCACCCUACCCCUCUCUCCUCCGUCCGAACCCCUAAACUCAUCAGAACACAAUAUUUUAAACGCCCUUGACCAUUGACCGAACUUAUGUAGCAUUGAUAAUGUUGAGUUGGAUAAUUAUGUGAUUACACGCGUUGUCAGCGAGUAAUAAGGUAUUUUACAUUAAAAUUAUUUAAAUAAUAAUAAUCAAUUUUAAAAAAUAAUAAUUAAAAACCCAUCUUCCUCAACCAUCCCUCUCCCACCCCACCCCUCUCUCCUCCUAUUUGUUUUUUUUUUUCUAAAAAAAAUUUUGGGCUUUGCCCGAGGAGAUGUAUGGGGUGCAAUUGUCUCUCUUUCAAGUUUAUUAAUAAAAAAAAAUACCACAAUUGUUUUAAAAAAAAAAAAAAAACACCACCCCUCUAUCCUCCGUACCCCCCCCCCUCCCCGCCUCUCCUCUUCUUCUUCUUCUCUUGGAAUUUCAUCCACCACACUCACUCUCCUUCAUCCACCUCCUUCUUAACCCACACUUCUUUUUCAUUACAAAUCAACCGUCCACCCUAACCACUUAGUCUAAAAGUCUUUUAGAUUCUAGCUUUUUAGUCUAAAAGUAUUGAGAUAUUAUUAGUUUUAUUUGGCAUCAAAAAAGAGGUCUAAGUAUGGAUUAACACGAAAGAUAAUGGUGGAUAUUGAAAAAUUAAAACUCCAUUGAUAAGUUAGAGAAAGCUUGAAAUUUAUAAGAUAUAUUAGAACUAUAUAAAAAAAAAUAUCACAUAUACCAAUCAAUUGUGUAUACUACAAACAAUUAUACUUCUCUUUCAAAAUUUAGUUACUCAAUAUUACUUGCAAGUUUUAGUAGCAUCUAUAUCAUUUAAUUUUUUUGUACUAAUUAACACAGGACACACAUGCAACGCACGUGCCUAGAGACUAGUUUAUAUAUGUACAUAAACUUAGAAAAUAUAUCCAAUAUAUACAUCUUAAUUUUUUGUCGAGGGGGUUCGGGUGAACACUCUCCCUCCCUUGAUUGGCUCAUUGAUACUAUUAUUGUUAGUGCAAGAGGAAACUGCUAGGGAAGUUGCCUCUGAUAUAUGUUGGAGCAGAUGGGAUAUAAGAUUUUGAUUUGAUGGGUUCAAUUUUUAGGUUCUUAUCAUUGAGCCCGUUAUACUUUGAAAUUAUGGGUUCAUAUUCUAUUAUUAAUUAAAAUUUUAGUGAUUUUUCACAUAUACUUUUAUGAUCUGUGUCGAAAAUGCAAAUCUUAUACUUAUAUUCGCCAUCCGCCCUGUGUAACUGAACAUAUUACUGUUUGUCUUCCAUGUAACAGUGAUCCUAAAACCAUUCCUUAUUUAUGAUCUGUAACUAUGGUCGUUAUCUGCUAAUAGCUUCGGAUGUUCUUGUCCUCUAGGCUAGUUCUUGGACCUGCAUUAUAAAUUCACUACUACUAUAUCUUUCUUUCUUAUUGCAUUUGGGAUUUGCAGAUUGCUCUUUGUUAUCAAAACAUUGCACAAAUCUCUCAUGUGGUCAUUCACAUAUAACCCCAUUAUUUCAUAUUCUAUAUAAGAAUUAUGUAAUCAAAAAUAAUUUAGCAUCUUAUUUGUAGAUUUUGUUCUGUUAUUGUAACAUAACAAAACUACCUCAUUUGAAUUUCUUGAAAACGGAUGCAUGUAUUGAAUUCUUUCAUGCCACACAUAUUUCUUUAAAUUAUUCCAAACAUAAGUACAACAACAACAACAUAAGUAGUGAUGAAAAAACAAAGUGAACAUAAAAUUGCUAAAGAAACAACUAAGAAAAAGUAAGGGUUGAAUCCAUCUAAUGGAAUCCUGGAGGCCACCUCUUGAUGCUAAUACAAAGCGCUUUCAAUGGUGAUGAAAGAGGAUUAUGGCCAAGAGUGACAAAGAAAUAGUGUAAUCGGAUUUAACUAACCCUAAAGCUAGCUCAUCUCUGUACAAUCUCUUGUAGGGCCCUAUUCAGGUGUGCCACAAUUAUGUUAGCAGCUAUAUAUCUCAUCUUUCUUCAAUUGUGCCUGACAUUGUUUCAUGAACUGGAGUUCCAGGUUCUGUUGUAGAGAACCCUUCAGAAGCAGGGGAUUCUCCUAGGCCAUCGGAGAUUCCGAUUUCUGGGCUUUCCAAAGGUAGGUUGGGCGAUAAUUCAAUAGAAGCAUCACUUUCUGCAAACACUGUAGCCGUUAGGCUUUCAUUCCCUUCAGAUGGCUUUUUUGACAUAGAAUUAGAGUCGUCUCUCUUUAAAUCAAAGACUUUUGCUAUUGCACAAAGCUUUUUUCCUAUUGAAUCAUCAGUGACUAAGAUUUCUCUAUUCUGAUAAAGGAAGAUGAGGAAGAAUAGGAGAAGAGAGGAGCCUGCUGACACACCAUCUUGCUUUGGACAAUCUGUUUCAAUAUCUUUCUGUGGACAAUCUGUUUCAUUCCCAAACCAUUUCUGAAUUAUGUUAUUCAUAGUCUCUCCCUCUAUCACCUUCAAGACUGCUCUUGAGACGUCAGGUACCAAAGGAGAUCCUUUUGGAAAUGCCUGCAACAAGUUGUGGGAAAAUUAAAGAUUAGAUCAUUGAGUAAACCACUAACCACUCUAAAACAAAUGUUAACACUUGCUGAAACAUCAGUUAAGUACAACAAUCUUACAAAUCCAAAGCCGGCAGCCUUGUAUGUCGGACCAACCAUAAUAUACUUCCUGCAGUAUUUGUUCAGCAAGAGUCUGAGAUAAGGUAGUUCAUCAACAAUUGCACCAACACCUCCAUUUUUACUACCUCUUGAGAGUGCAUCAUUAUACUCUUCCAAUGUGCUGUAACUCCUAAAUUUGGAGCUGUCAAAUUUCAUGCGUGUCAAGACGUCUUUGACAAAGGAACCUUUUUUAUCAGCACAAAUCUUGAUAAGUUACUUGUUAUCUUCUCUUCUGCAACAACCAGUCAUAUAUAGGAUUUGUUGAGAAACAAGGAGAAAUCUUAAACUUUUGGUCUAUAAUUUGAUUUGAGUUAGAGACUUACUAUGAGCAAAAACGAGAGUUGAGAAGGAAAACCAAAAUAUUAUCCCAACUUGCUUGCGUUUGGGUCCUCGAAAAUCUUUGUUUACACGAUGUUCGAGUACCCAAACCACAAAACCAAUGAAGACGAAGAAUGCUCCGGUUGCUAUCCACAGCUCGGCCUUUAAAGGUUUCAAGAAGAUCCAAGCGUUCUUCCUAUCAUCAUUCCUUAAAGGCACAACUGCAGAAAUACCCGACUCUGAAUAAGGUAAUGUGAAAUCUACAUACUCAGAUCGGCUUGCUAAAAUGGUAACAUCACCUACAACUGCAUCAUAUUCCUGGUUCAAGCAAACAUUGAUUAUUUAAGUAUUUAUUGUUGGUCGCUAAAGCAGAACAUAGAUAAGAAGUCCAAAAAAGGAGCAUGUAAGUGAGUUAUUCAGCUGAAGAGGUUAAUUUUACCUUAGAAGUGAUCUUCUGAACAAGAUCAUCAUAGUUUUAAGAAGUAGGGCUAUGUGCUAUUGGAAAUAGAAUAAAUUCGUAGGGGACAGCAUAUGGCAAAGAUAGGAUGACUUCUUUGAAGACAUCUGGAACAAAACCAGUUACAAUUACUUCUUGUGUCGUUGGAUUUGUUUCCACUUGAAUGAAUUGCUCCAGCCCGUCAGGAACUCCGACCCUUAACUUCUUCCCACUUGUGGGUAUUUCCCAGCCUCUCGGAACAAUAGUAGAUUCACCAGGCCAAAUGAUGACCCCUAGUUGCUUAUUAUUAGUUUUAGCUGUUUUACCAUUCAUCUUGAGUUUAUGCGAAAUGCCAUCCUUCUCUGUCCAGAAUCCAACGAUUUUCUCUCCUUUCCCAAUUAUAUUCACAAUCUGAUAUGGGGACGGCUGCAGUUCUCUAUCAACGAUACGGAAAUCACCACUUAGUCCUGGUUUUAGCUCUGUGUUUUGCAUAGAGUCAAUGAGCAGAGAUCCCACUUCUGAGGUUCCAAGUGCAUCUAGGUCUGUUAAGUUCUCUCUAGUGUCUGGUUCUUAAUUUUGGGAUAGCAGUAGUGCCCACUUUCUCUACUGCUUCUGCUAAUAAGGUGAUGCUAUCAUAUGCCAUAGCCCGAAAACAUUGAGUUCUACUUGGUCCAUGUCUGGAUAUUCUUGACGAAAUCUCUUUCUCCAUCUCUUGGUGAACAUGUCAAGCGCAUUUGGAGUCCAGAAAACUCGUUAGCACAUCUGUGAUGAUCCAUGCAUAUCCACUGCUCAUCAUCCCAGCUUCUUUGGCCUUGAGGAAAAGGCGUGAGGCAAGAUAUGGUUGUAAGUGCACAAUGAACACUGUGGUUUGCUUUGUAUUCAAAUUGUGUAACUCCUUGAGGAUUUGAUCAUCACUGGCUGAAGGAGAAAUAGCACUUUUAUAGGGGACUAAAGUGUUGAUUUCCAGUAAGGCAUCAGUCAGAUGUGGAACUAUCCCAGUUCCAAUGGAGCUAUCCUCGUGGAUGAUUACAACCUUCGUCCAAUUAUAGUUUUUAACAAUUGCUGCAAUGGCUUUAGUCUGGCUGGAAGAAGGAAGUGCUCCUCUGAUGAAGAAGGGAUUUUCCUUGACUGUAAGUAAAGGACUUGUUGCUGGAGAAAUGAUAGGGACUUUUGUUCUGUUCCCUAUGUCAAUCACAAAAUCAGUUUGUGUAGACAUUUGUGGCCCAAAGAUAGCUUGUACUUGGACAUCCUUUAGCAAGUAUAUGGCUGCGUAUACACAAUCAGACUAUAAGAAAUCGUUCCAAAGUGAAAAACAGACGAAAAGAGAGAAUGAUAUGCUAGUUUAACAGAAGUAAAUCAUGGAUCAGAAUAUACCAGCGGAUGCUGCUUCAACAUCAUCUUUCUUUGAAUCCCUGAUAUGAGGAACUAUCCUUAUGGCACCGCGACUAGUGUUGGCAUGAUAAUCUGCAAGAGCUAGUAAGAUAGAUAUGUGCAUUACUUUUCCCACAUCUGUUUCCAGAUCAAGAAUUAUGCCCACAUCCACCUUUACAGCACUAGUGUUAUUAUCUUCACCUCUUAUUCCAAUUACAUAGUGGCAAAAGCUAAUGAUGGAAACAAGUUGAAUGAAAAUAAUUAGGAAUUUGCAUCUUGGAUUAUGCAUUUGAAAAACUCUUGUAGAAAGUAAUAUGAGUGUUGGGCAAGAAGCAGUUGUGCUUGUGCAAGAUUUAUAACCACCAUUCAGAGAUGUGUUUAAAGGUAUCUUAACUAUAACUUUUCUACAAUUAAAUGAGAGCAAACCUCAUAACUGCAGAAAGAAAAGUCAAAGUUUUCAAAGAAUUACAAAUGGUUUAAAAUAUACUAGUUUGAUUAUUAAAGAAAGAGUACUUUGCACACUUGUUAGACCACAAGCUAGUAAAGCCUCCUCAGUUUUGACCAAAUCAAUAAAUGACUAAAUGAACAUAGUGACAAAAUUGAUUUGUACUCAUUCUCCCAAUACCCAAAGAAGUUUUUGUAUUCAUUGGAUGACUAUCUAGAGGCUACUAAAAGGACUUCCCAUAUUUUGGCUAAGUCAUGUUGAAAGUUGAGUGCUAACUCAGUUACAAAUAAGUAGAAGAGGUCAGUUUCUAUGACUUGGACAUUGGAAAAGGGCAGCUAUGACUAGUAAUCUUUAGUUUACUUAGACGGUUUCAGUUUAGAAUUGGUCAGUAGUAUAAAACUUUAUGGUGGUAGAGGCACAACUUGUAGGGUUGUUCCGGGUUAUCGUUAAUUAAAAAAUCAAAUCAAACUUGUAGGGUUGUUUGGUUAGGUUUUAAAUUUUGAAAAUCAAUACUAUUUGGUUUGGUUUGGUUUUAAAACUGUAAAAAUAAUCAAAUUGAACGUGUAAUUAUAAUAAUUCUAGUAUUGCUUGAUUGAAUCCACAGUAACUUUCAUGUGUAUUGUUCAUGUACUAGGUGUCUGUGUUUAUAUAUAUGUCUUCAAAAAAAUUAUUACUUCCAAAACAAAAAAACAAAAAAAUUGAACCAAACCGACAAUUAUUUUUUUCAUUUGGUUUUAGAAUUUAGAAACCGACUAAAUUGAUCUGGCUUUGAUUUUAGCCAAUAAUCAAUCCAAAUUGAACCAUGAACACCUCUAGGCACAAAUAUAACUUGGUAUGUGAAGAAUUACUAUAAUACCUUUCCUUUAACUUUUUUUUUUUAAAAAAAAAUCUCCAUCCUCCAUUUUUUUCCCUUCACUUUUAAAAAAAAAAAAAAAAACCUCUAUUGGGAAAUUUUUCAAAUCAGUUUUUUUUACUCAUGAGCUCUAUUCCUUUCCCUUUUAUAUUUUUUAUAAUAUAAAAUAUAAGAUAAAAUAAAGAAUUUUUUUAAAAAGAAAUGAGAAAAAAAAUGAUGAAGAUGAGGGGUGAGGAGCUAAAGGAGAGAAGAAAGAUAGAACAUAAGAUGAGAAAGGUAGGGUCCCCAUAUUUUCUUUAUCAAAAAGUAACUUCUUACCUACCAAAGUCAUAUUUAUGCCUCUACCACCACAAAUUUUUUCGUAUUAACUUGCUUGCAAGUUGCAAAACCAAACAAAGCAAGCAUACCCAAAUGGAGAUGGAAUCUUGGAAUGAGGAUGGUUGGGUAUACAUGUAGGUGUCAAUGUCAUUGUCUCAAUAUAUAUAUAUAUAUAUACUCCCUCCGUCCCAAUUUAUGUGGCACCCUUUUUUUUUAGUCUGUUCCAAAAAACAAUGUCAUCUUACUAUAAUUAGAAACAAGGGAAAAGACUCAAAUAUGCUAUUGAAAUUUGAGAAAAGACUCAUUUAUGUCAUCCGUUAAAAGUUUGGUUCAUCUAUGUCAUUUUCGUUUGAGAAAAAACUCAUCCAUACCAUUAGUUGUUAACUAAAAAUAAUUUUGGUUUUGUAAGAUCAUUUUAUACACAUGGUCAAUUAUGAUUCGGCCAUGUCAUCAAUUAAAUCAUUUCUAUAGAAGAGAAAAUGUUCAAAUAUGUCAUCGAACUUUGAGAAAAGACUCAUUUAUGACAUCCGUUAAAAGUUUGUCUCAUCUAUGCUAUUUCAGUUAAUAAAUAAUGGCAUGAAUGAGGUUUUUCUCAAAUGAAAAUGGCAUAGAUGAGCCAAUUUUUUAACGAAUGACAUAUAUGACAUUUCUCAAAGUUCGAUGGCAUAUUUGAGUUUUUUCCCUAUAAACAAUUUCACUUAAAAUUUACUGUUAUCCUUAAUGAAAUUAUUUACAAACACACAAAUAUCUAAGGAUUGUUUUAGAUCACAAGUUUAAAAGUCUUUUUAAAAUAUAUAUAUAUAUAUAUAUAUAUAUUGUGUCAAGUUAAACAGUGCCACAUAAAAUGAGACAGAGAGAGUAAUUGUUAAUGUAAGAGGAAGCUGCUCGGGAAGUUACGUGUAUGAUGUUGAAGUUAUUUGACAUGCAGUUGAGGUGAUCCUAUAAUCUUCCAUUAUUUAUGACUAGUAAAAUCACUGAAUUUAUAAAAUAAUACUUAAAACAUAUGAGUCAUUAAAACUAAAACACUAUAUUAUCUUACAUAUAAGAUUACAUAUAACAAACAUUAAUAAUGUAAGUAAUUUCUUUUUUGCAUAUGUUAACAAAUUUUUGAAUUUCUUCCUGAGACAUAUAUCACAAUUGUAAAAUCUAUACAACUUAAAUGUGUUCUUGUUCUUACGAAACGCCUUUGUGUAUAUAUAUUCUUAUUUAUUCUCUCUUUUUUCCUUUUAAUUGAUGAUUAAAUAACCAUUAAUUUAUUAUUUCCUAAAUAAUUCAUUUAUUAGAUGUUCUUGAGUUAUGUGAUAAUGACAAAUAAUAGUAUAGAUCUUUAAGGAAUUUUUUUACUGUACCUUCAACAAUUUCAUGAUCAGUAGAGAAAACUUGCAUGAAUACUCAAUUAACAUGUGUUGUUUAAUCUGUACUAACAAAUACAAUUAACGUGUGUUGUUUAAUCUGUACUAACAAAUACUUAUAACAAUAACUUUGCAGAAACAUAAACACAAGUUUAAAACAUGUACUCAAAAACAAUAAUUAAUAACAUAAGCAUAAAUUAAUGACUGUAAAAAAAUAUACCAGGAUCUGUAAUAAUAGGAUGAAACAUAAAGGAAAAAAUUGUACACGAAUAUUUAAUUGUGCAGGUUAAGAAGAAGUUCAAAAUUUUCGUUUUUUUAAAAUGAGAGGAAAUCACUCUAUUUAUAGCUAGACAACAAAGGGUAGUGUGAGCAAAUGUUUAUUGUGUCUUAUCGGAAAGGUCACAACUCUUUGGAAAAGUUACAAACCCUUUGGAAAGGUCAUAACCUUUCAUAAAAGACACAACUUUUCAUAAAAGUCGCAACUCUACAUAGAAGUUACAACUUUUCAUAAAAGUCGCAACUGUUCAUAUAAGUCGCAAUUUUUCAUAAAAGUCACAACUUUUCAUUAAAGUCGCAAAUUUUUAUAAAAGGGGAAGGAUAGUUUUGUAAAUAUAUUAAUUAAAAAAGGAAUCCUGGUUUGUGAUGGCGCCACGUAGGCAGGCCUAGGGUUCUCUUUUAUAUAUAUACUAGUUUCUGAACACGUGCGUUGCACGUGUUUCAAACAAGUAGUAUACACGAUAAAAGUUAUAUUAAAACCAUAGUGUAAUCAAUAACGAAAAAAAGGUACAAACUAAAAUUGAUGAACGUAACACUCAUCCAAUUUGAAUGACUUAUUCGUUUAGCGAUAAAUAAUUAAUUACUAUCAGAACUACAAAAUUGAAUAAUUAUAUUUAGUUAGAUAAGUAAAAUGUAUAAAAUGAGUCACAUUUUAAUGUUAUUAGGUGCAAAUAUUUUAUUUAUAAAGAAGUAUUAGUAUUAAAUAUUUGCACCUAAUAACAUUAAGUAUUAAAUUUCAAGACAUAAUAUUUGAAUAAUGAAUUGUGAUGCUCAUACCAAAUAGCAAAACAAUGAAUCUAGAAAAUACUUUUAAAACAAAAAAACUUAGAUAUGAUAUUUAAAAUAUUUAAAACUUCUUGUUAAAAUUUACAAAAACGCAAAUAAUAUAUGCUUAUUAAGAAUUUAAAACUAAUUGUUAUAAUCUUAACAAUUGUGCAUGGAAACAAAAGCACCCAAAACAAAUGAAAUUCCAAUACAUGUGAAAUCAAAGUAUUGUAAUUCUAAGUAACUAAAUAUGCCAUGCAUACUUCUCAUCUCUUCUUUUAUGCAAACUAUUAGAAGGCAUAAAAAAACAAUGAAAAUCGAAGAUAAAAUAAUUUGCAUUCAAUCUUAAAAAGUUACAAAGAGGAGAUGGGGAAAAUUAGUAAAACUCAUUUAACCUUUAUAUAAUGUUUUUCCCAGUCCUUUGAAAUUUCAUUUCAUUUAUUUACUAAUGAAUUGAUUUACUAAUUAAUAUUCAAUUCAACUUUUCAACUUCUUUGUACUUACUGUAGCAAUGAAAGGUUGGCUAUUGGUUAACGUAACAAUUAAAUAAUUGAACCACCAAUGUUUCAUAUAAAGUUAUGGUUAUUAUAAGUAUUAAAUGCAAACAUUUUCUUUUUAUUGUAUGAAAUGCGUGUAUUUGUAUUUUUAUAUUAUAAACUUUUUGAAAUAAUAGUUGCUUGAAGGUUAAAAUGAUGUUUAACUUUUAAUAGGCGAUUUGGUAAUUCAAUUUUUCAUUUGGAAAGUUUCUACUUGAUAUAAUAUGAUAAUGAUCAAAAAUUUAAUAUAAAAUGAAUAAAGCAAAGAAUAAACAGGGAAAGAAAGAAAGAUGAUUGUCAUCAAUCCCUAUUAAAUCAUUGAAUUAAGUGUGAUAAUUAAAGUAUUAUUACUCCACUUUCAAAUCAUCCGUUCAAUUCAUGUUAUUGAAAACUAAUUUAAUUGAAGAUUUAUUUUAAUUAUGGUGUAAAUAAAAAUUAGUUUAUAAAAAAUGAUUUAGUAUAAGGGCAAAAUGGUAAAUCAACUUUGAAGACAAGAGCUUCCCACUUUUAAUAAUACUAGAAGAAAAAUGUGAAUUACAUGGAGAUUUUUUUCUUGGAAUUAGUAUCAAAAUUCGCAGAUAACUUAUUUCCUGCAAAUUUUCAUAUUAAUCCCCAGGAAAAUCCCCAUGUAAUUCACCAUUUUCUUGUAGUGUUGUACCAAAUUAUAAUAAAAUAACAGUAAAGAAAAUAGGUUGUACCCUGCUUCUUGCACUUAACUUUAUCCCACGAACAAUAGACAGAAAGGUGUCAUAUAAUCCUUACAUAUCACUAUCAAACCAAAUUCUCCCAACUGACAUAUUCUCCCACAACAAUAUUAUAUUCCCUCAAGUCCAAUUUUCAUCAGUGACUCCGUUUCUAAUGUUUUCCAAUUCACUUUUUCGACCUCCUUUUCACUAUUCAUUAUAUAAUAAUUGAUAUGAAACAACCCACAAUGUAAACAAGAUUUAAGAGACGUGAUUGAUUUACUUGAGUCGCUCACGUUCUUCUUUCGUUCACGCCGCUUUCUGUUAUUCUUCUUUUCCGUUCUUUCCCUUUUCUUCUACAGAUUAUUUUCACCCUAAUUAUUAUAUGACUAAUUAUAAGAGUGGUGGAAUUGGCUCACUACUAGUUUUAAUGCUAUCUUCUUUAACCACCAACUACAUUAAUUAUUAAAACUACCCCACUAAUUUCAUAAUGUAAUUACGAAUAGUCCAAAAUACCCAUUUAGAAUCUAUCGAACGAGUCUUUUAUGAAAUAAAAAGAUCUAGUACUCAAAACGACUAAAUGGGUCGUUACACAAUGUAACUCUUUAACUUUCAAAAUGAUAGGAGGUGAAAAGGUGAAAACAUUUUCUUUUUCAAUGAAUACAUUCAUUAUACUAAUAAUUCACCAUUUAAUAAACUUCUACCUAAAAAUGUUUUUUAGCAUAAAACAUGUAGGAAGUAAUUUUAAACAGUAAAAGGUAAAGGGUUAAUUAGUUUCUCAUUUAAUUAAUUCGAUUCAUUUAUUAGUAUAGGUAAAUUUAUUAUUUAGUACCAAGUAGUAUAAGAAUAGUAUUAAGAUGAAGGGUAAAAAUGUAAUUUGAUUUUUUAGGAAUAUUUUGUAAUUCAAUUUUAUAAGUUUUGGGGCUUCCCACUUAAUAAUUAUUAUUUAUAAUAAUAAAAAAAAUUUGACUUAACACCUUUCCAUUAUUAUUAUAGAUUAUAGAUGAUAAAUAUUAAUAAAUUAGAUAUUUAAUUAGGAAUUAAUCUUAGGAAGUCUAAAAGUCAUUUAACAUUUUUAAUUUAAAACUUAUACAAUCAAAUAUUUAAAUAUUUUAUAACAAUUUAAUUAAUAGAAGGGGUAAAACUGUAAUUCAACUUUCAACUUUUUUUGUUCAUGCUUAUAGUAAUAUAUAUGAUAUGAUAUAUAUAUAUAUGAUUAUUUACUGUGGUCGUUUUCUGAUAUGAUCACAAUAAGAUAUAACCGUCUAUUAUCUUUUAAACUUGUUUUUCUUUUUAGUUUGCAAUAUAUUUUGGAUUGGUAACAUUAGUAGUAUUAAAUUGUUAACAGCACUAGUUUGCAAUAUUUUUGGUUUCUGCAAACAUUAUUAGCACAUAUUGAAAGAGAUAUAUAUGAUAUGGUUUCAUUGAAUUAUAUCCUCUACAUAAGCAGUGAAGACAAAACAAAGUACUAAUGUUAUUUAAAUUGUCUCUAAAAUUUUGAUGAUUUAAUAAACUUUGAGAUCUAAAGAACGACCAGAUUCCAAGAGAGAUUGAGAGUUCUGUUUAUGAAAAAAACAGCGGUCUAAAAGCAGCAACACCUGCUGUGGUUGGUGCACGUAUUUUGCAGCAGACAUUCAGCCAAUGGCAGGGCAUUGCUUCAAGAGUUUGGGUCCAUCCUAUAAUACACCUCUUUGACAUUGACACAAACUCAAGUUUUUGCAAUAUAAAAAUUCAUAACAGCAAAAGUCAUUCUCUCAAGGAAAUAUUUCUCGAUAAAUGAUAGAGUUAUCAUCGUUCUUAGGUGUUUUUAGGGCUUAUAUUUCUGUGCUUAUACUUGUAAGAUUUAUUCCUACGUUAUAAAGGAAUCAGAUCAUUUGAAGUUUUUUCUGAGUAUUCCGAGUUAUAGCUAGAGUUAGUUAUGUUGUAUUCUUGAAUUCAAGAUCAACUAUAGCUAGUUGAUUUAGUGGGUCAUAGAGUUAUUGCUUAGUUUUUGAGUAACAGAGUUGUUACUAUGAGGGGAAGGGAUUAAGAGUUUAAUUCCUAGGCUACAAGGGUUUGUAAUAUGAAGCUUUGCACUUUUGAUGAUAAUGGAGUUGGGUUAAAUCCUGUGAGACAGACCGUGGUUUUUCCUCCCUUGAACAAGGGGCAUUCCACGUAAAACUCUUGUAUUUGUUUUACUUUGUGUUAUUUAUUUUCCACAAUUUUUCUUUCAAGGGACUUGGUCCAUUGACCAUUAGUGGACGCAUACAUUCUAUGAGUAAUAAUAAGAUUGAAAAAGAAACCACUAAGAAAAAGUAAGGGUUAAAUCCAUCAAAUGGAAUCCUGGAGCCACCUCUUGAUGCUAAUAUUCUGGCCAAGAUCAGUAACAAAGAUAUAAUGUAAUCUGGUUUAACUAACCCUAAAGCUAGCUCAUCUCUGUGCAAUCUCAUAUAGGGCCCUAUUCAGGUGUGUCACAAUUAUGGUAGUAGCUAUAUGUGUCAUCUUUCUUCAAUUGUGUCUGUAAUGGUUUCAUGAACUGGAGUUCCAGGUUCUGUUGUAGAGAACCCUUCAGCAGCAGGGGAUACUCCUAGUCCGUCGGAAAUUCUGAUUUCUGGGAUUUGCGAAGGAAGGUCAGGCAAUAUCUCAGGAGAAGCUUCACUUGCUGCGAGCAGUGUAGGUGCAUUGCUUCCAUUGCUUUCAGAUGGCUCUUCUGACAUAGAAUUAGAGCUGUCUUUCUCUUCAUCAAAGACUUUUGCAAUUGCAGUAAGCUUUUGCCAUAUUGAAUCAUCAGUGGCUAAGAUUUCUCUAUUCUGAUAAAGGAGGAUGAGGAAGAAUAGGAGAAGAGCGGAGCCUGCUGAAACACCAGCUAUGAGGAAAAGUCCCUUAAAACUAUCUAACGUGAGGCUAUCAGAUGUUAUUGCCGUUUCAUCUUUCUGUGGACAAUCUGUUUCAUUCCCAAACCAUUUCUGUAUUAUGUUAUUCAUAAACUCUCCCUCCAUCACCUUCAAGACUGCUCUUGAGACGUCAGGUACCAAAGGAGAUCCUUUUGGAAAUGCCUGCAAUAAAAGAUUAGAUGAUUGAGUAAACAACAAAUCAUUCUAAAUAUAUAUGUUAACAGUGUCUGAAACAUCAGUGGAGUGUACAAUCUUACAAACCCAAAGCCGGCAGCCUUGUAUGUCUGGCCGACCAUAAUAUACUUCCUGCAGUACUUGUUGAGGAAGAGUCUGAGAUAAGGUAGUUCAUCAACAAUUGCACCUACACCUCCAAUUUUUUGCUUCCUCUUGAGAGUGCAUCAUUAUACUCUUCCAAUGUGCUAUAAUUUCUGAACUUGGAGCUGUCAAAUUUCAUGUGCUUUAUGAAGACGUCUUUGACAAAGGAACCUUCUUGGUACCCAACAUAUUCUCCAUUCUUGAUGAGAUCAUUGAGGUCUGUUAUAGUAGGUUGGAGCUGUUGCAGUGUCAACAUAGAUGUUAAGCUGGCUGUAUAACUUGAUGUCAGCACCAGAACCACAAAAACCCACACAAUCAGCAAAAAUCUUGUUAAGUUACUUGUUACCCUCUCUCCUGCAACAACCAGCCAUAUAUAUGAUUUGUUGAGACACAAGGAAAAAUCCUAUAUCUUUCGUAUAUAAUAAUAUGCUUUGAGUUAGUGUCUUACUAUGAGCAAAAACGAGAGUUGAGAAGGAAAACCAAAAUAUCAUCCCAACUUGGUUGCGUUUGGGUCCUCGGAACUCUUUGUUUACACGAUGUUCGAGUACCCAAACCACAAAACCAAUGAAAACGAAGAAUGCUCCAGUUGUUAUCCAAAGCUCGCUCUUUAGAGGUUUCAAGAAAAUCCAAGCAUCCCUCCUAUCAUCAUCCCUUACCGGCACAACUACAGAAAUACCUGACUCUAUAAAAGGUAAUGUGAAAUCCACAUACUCUGACCGGCUCGCUAAAAUGGUCACAUCACCUACAACUGCAUCAUAGUCCUGGCUCAAGCAAACAUUGAUUAUUCCAGUAUGUAUAGUUGAUUGUAAUAGCAGAAAAUAGAUAUCGAAGUCCCAAAAAGGGCCAUGUUAGUAAGAUAUAGAGCCAAAGAGGUUUAUUGGAACAGAGAUUAUAUAUUACCUGAGAGGUGAUCUUGUGAACAAGAUCAUCAUAGUCUGGAAGAGUGAGGGGAUCUUGUAUUGGAAAUGGAAUAAAUUCGUAAGGGAGAGCAUAUGGCAAAGAUAGGAUGACUUCUUUGAAGACAUCUGCACAGAAACCAGUUGCUGUUACUGCUUGUGUUUUUGAAUCUCUUUCCACUUUAAUGAGUUGCUCCAGCCCUCCUUUGAGAGGAACUCCAACCCUUAACUUCUUCCCACUUGUGGGCAUUUCCCAGCCUCUUGGAACAAUAGUUGAUUCACCAGGCCAAAAAAUGGCUCCUAGUUGCUUAUUAUUACACUUAACUGCUGUUUUACCAUUCAUCUUCAGUUUACACGAAAUGCCAUCCCUCUUCGUCCAAAAUCCAAUGUUUUUCUCUCCUUUCCCAAUUAUAUUCACAAUCUGAUAUGGGAUUGGCUGCAGUUCUCCAUUGAUGAUACGGAAAUCACCACUUAAUCCUUGUUUUAGCACUGUGUUUCGCAUAGAGUCAAUGAGCAGAGAUCCCACUGCUGACGUUCCAAGUGCAUCUAAGUCUGUUAAGUUCUCUCUGGUGUCUGGUUUCUUUAAUUUUGGGAUAGCAGUAGUGCCUACUUUAUCUACUGCUUCUGCUAAUGAGGUGAUGCUAUCGUAUGCCCAUAGCCCAAAAACAUUGAGUUCUAUUUGGUCCAUGUCUGGAUACUCUUGACGGAAUCUCUUUCUCCAUCUCUUUGUGUAGUUGUUAAGCUGAUUUGAUCUUGGAAUGUAAGGUUUUAUACCAAGAACACCUUGCAUUGAUGACUCGAUCACUGAAUGAUCUACCAAGUCCAGAAGACUCGUUAGCACAUCUGUGAUGAUCCAUGCAUAUCCACUGCUCAUCAUCCCUGCUUCUUUGGCCUUGAGAAAAAGGCGGGAGGCAAGAUAUGGACGCAAGUGCACGACGAACACCCUUGUUUGCUUUGUAUUCAUAUUGUAUAACUCCUUGAGAAUCUGAUCAUCAUUGGCUGACGGAGAAAUAACACUUCUAUAGGAGACUAAAGUGCUGAUUUCCAGUAAGGCAUCAGUCAAAUGUGGAACUAUCCCGAACCCAUAGGGGCUAUCCUCAUAGAUGACCACAACCUCCCUCCAAUCAAAGUUUUUAACAAGUGCUGCAAUGGCCUUAGUCUGGCUGGAAGAAGGAAGUGCUGCUCUGAUGAAGAAGGGAUUUUCCUUGACUGUAAGUAAAGGACUUGUUGCUGGAGAAAUGAUUGGGACUUUUACUCUGUUCCCUAAGUCGAUCACAAAAUCAGUUUGUGUAGACAUUUGUGGCCCAAAGAUAGCUUGUACUUGGACAUCCUUUAGCAAGUAUAUGGCUGCACAUACACAAUCAGACAAUAAGAAUUUACCCAAAGUAAGAGUUUAAUAGAAGUGAAUCAUGGAACUGAAUUUACCAGCAGAUGUUGCUUCAACAUCAUCUUUCUUGGAAUCCUUGAUAUGAGGAACUAUCCUUAUGGCACCGCGACUAGCGUUGGCAUGAUAAUCUUCAAGUGCUAGUAAGAUAGAUAUGUGCAUUACUUUUCCCACAUCUGUUUCCAGAUCAAGAAUUAUACCCACAUCCACCUUUACAGCACUAGUGUUAUUAUCUUCACCUCUUAUUCGAACCACAUAGUGGUAAAAGCUAAUGAUGGAGAUAAGUUGAAAUGAAAAGAAUUAGAAAAGUGGCAUCUUGGAUUAUGCAUUUGAAAAAACUCUGGUAGCAAGUAGUCUGAGAGAUGGGCAACAAGCAGUUGUGCUUGUGCAAGAUAACCACACAUUCAGAAUGACAAUUUUCCUAUAAUUAAUAAGACCAAACUCCAUAAAUGAAGAAAGAAAAGUCAAAGAACAAAUGGUUGAAAAUCAAGUAUUCGUUUGAUUAUUGAAAGUGAGGACUUUUCACAUAUGCUACAACCGCACAGCUAGUAAGCAUAUUACCCCUCAGGUUUGACUAAAUAAAAAUUUGACAAAAUUGAUUGGUACUCAUUCCCCAACACCCAAUUACUUUUUGUGUGUACUAUCUAGAGGAUAUAUUCAAGGGAACUUACAUGAAUUCAACUAAUUUAGGAGUUAAUUACUUAAAUACAUUGUAGUUUGCAAUAUUACGUAUUUUACUAGAUUUUGGUAUGUCCAGAUACAUUCAGAUACAUAUAUGUGAGGUUACUUAGGAUCAAAAUUAGGUGUAAUUUGCUCUAGAUGCAUUGUAUCUAAGUGACUUUGCAUGUAUCUGGGAUACAUAACAAAUCUCGCUCGCCUCUCUCCCAUCUCUCACUCUCCUAUGUAUCUGAUAUUCCAUAUACAUGUGAAUCACACCAGAUACAUACACAUAAAUGUAUCUUAUGUGUAUAUAGUGUGAUUCGCAUGUAUCUGGGAUACAUAACAAAUCCCGCUUGCCUCUUUCCUCAUCUCGUUCCCCUAUCUUCCUAUUUUUGUGUAUCUGAUGGCAAAAAUUCAUGUAGCCAAAUGUAUUUUCCUCAAUAUAUGAUAGGAAACUCUUAAUUAGUGAUAGUAUACGAAAUAUUUUAAAAGUAUAGAAUAUAAUAGUAUAUAUGAUAGUGAAGUAUGUCUAAUGAUAUAGUUUUUCUGUAUUGAAAGGACUUCCCAAAUUUUGGCUGAGGCAUAAAAAGUUGACAAAUUUAGCUCAGUUACAAAUUCCACAAUUAAACCAAUAAGUAGAAGAGACCAUUGUUUUCCAACUUGGACAAGGCUAGAUACGACUAGUAAUCUUUAGUUUACGCGUUUUCAGUUACUAGUCUUUGGACACGUGCGUUGCACGUAUAUCCCAUAUUAUAUGGUUGCAUAAUAUAUGUCUAUAGUUACAAAUAUAUGUAUAAAAAAAAAUUGAUUGUGAUAUAAAUUGGAAAACAUGUAUAAGAUAAGAAAUCAAAACAGAUACCCUCAAAUUUCAAACUAUAAGCAUAAUAAGAAUAUGUAUUUCUAAUGAGUUUAAUCAAUCAUACCUUGCAAUAAUCUCUGCAAUUCAUUGAGAAACUUUCAAUCCAUACAUCAACAUUCAAUCGUGUAUAUAUAAAGAAAACUUGAAAUGCAUAACAACAAUUAUAUCUAUAUUUUUUAAAACACUAUAAAGUCAUUUUUUCUUUUUGCAUUAUAAUAUGGAUUGCACACAAUUUCUAUUAAAAAAAAGAAAGACAAAAUUAGGAAAAAUCGUAUCAAUAAAUUGGAAUGAAAAAUGUAAAAUUGUAAUAAGAGGAAGAGAAGAAAAAUACAGUAGAAUAUAUUACCUAACCAUGAAUAAGGAAGUAUGUUGAGUAAAAGAAGAGUAAUGCAAAAGUGUGAACUGAUAUAUGGAGGAAAUUGACAAAUAUAAUAAUCUAUAUUGAAUAAUGAAAAACAACUCUUCAAUUUCUGCAAAAAUUUUAUAACUACGAGCUCAAAAUAAUAUAAAUUUAUUAAUUUAAUAAAUGACAUAAAUAAAUAAAUAACAUAUAUUGUGUGUAUGUGUAGUUAAUGGGGUAGUGAAAAAGACUCUUUCUGAAAUUAUUUUUAUCUCUUUAAAGUAAUUUUGAACUUUUGAUAUUAGUGCUAUAGAAAAUCAUAUAAAGUCAUAAGCCACUGCAAGUUUUUAUAGUAAUUAUCUUAUUAAAUUAUAUACCUAUUAUUAUUUUUAAUUAUUUAUAAUCAUUCCGAAAAUGUAUAAAUUAAUUUUGAAAAGCUUGUAAAAUGAGAAAUUAUUAUUUCUUAUCAUUAUUUUAGCUAUUAUUAACAUUUAGUAUGACAACAUUUUAAAAAAGCAGCUUCCUUUAAAUAUUAAUUGUUUCUAAAUUAACAUAGCCAAGAAUUUAAAAUGUUGUGACGUUUUGUUUAUCUAAACACGCAGAAUUUUGUUUUUGAACCUGGAACAUGUAAUUAAGCCUUGGGUGAAUUAUAAUUUUAUUUUUACUAUUUAAUUAAUUAAAUAAUUUGUAACAUUUUAAUAUAAUGAAGGGGUAAAAUGGUAACUCAACUUUAAAGGUUGGAGCUUCCCACUUUUAGUAAUAUAUGAUAAAUUGGUCAGUAGUAGUAACCUAGUUUAAUUUGAUAUAAUAACAUUCAUGACAAAAUAAAUUAAAUAUGGCUAAUUAAGAAAAUAUAAUUAAAUAUGAUUAUCUUUAAUGUUAUUUAAAUUUGUAGGCGAUUUUUUUUGUAUUUUAAAAUUAAAAAAAGGCCAAAAAACCCACAAAAAGAGAUAAAUAGGAUUGAAGCCCUUAGAGAGCGUCACCUCACCGUUUUCAUAUUCAACUUUAUUAUUAUAUAUGGAUUUAGAUUUUUGCACAACCUUAAAUUUAAGGACACAUUUAGAUAUUAUAUCAAACAUUCAUUUAUUUGAAGUUGAAAUUACAUUUUACAUGAAAAUUGGAUAUUCCAUAUUCACAUUGAGUAUGAAUCUUUUUGUUUUUUUUACAAAAUUCAAAAUAAAAAAAUACAAAACAUAAACUUAUAGAUCAAAUUUUACAUUUGACAUUUGAAAGUUUUACUUUUCAUUAAACGUUUUGUUAUAGAAUUUGGAAUCGCCCUUUGAAAUUAGUAUUUAUAAAUGAAAAUAUUGAUCUAGUCCUGUUGAAAUUGUGUCUGGCCUAGUACUUUUUCUUAUUAGAGUGAUUAUUGAAUUAGGUUUAAUAUCAAUUUUCUUAAUUAGUUUUGUCAAUUGGCAGUGCUAAGAAGAUGGGAAUUUACGUUAUAUUAAAUUAUCUUUACAUUAAUAAAAAAAGAAAUUGUUGUUAGUAUUAUUUGUAAUAUAAUUAAACAAAAAUAACAAUGGGAAGAAAAUAAUAAGUAAAGAUUACACGUUGUAUUAAAAUAAUAAGUAUUAAAAAUUAUGAUAAAUUUUAUAAUAGUCAUAACAGGAAUUUACGCAAUAAUUACUAUAUUAGAAUACUAGAAAAAUUGAUAAGUUCCUCGACAUCUAAUCAUUGAUUAAAAUUUAAAUUAUUAUUUUCUUCUGCGAAAGUUUAAGAGAUUAAAUUAAUGUUUUAAAAAAUAAUAUUAAUUAUUUUCAAUGAUUAAUAAGAAAAUGUAUAUAGCAAGUACAUGUAUUAUUAUUACAUUAUUUAUAUCCACUCUAUAUUAAAUCAUUUUUCUAUUAUAGUUUGACGCAAAUUUCAGAAUGUAAAGAAUGUUUUGGAUUCGAAAAAUAAAUAUUCAAAAUAUACUAACAUGUCAUUUAAUCUUAUGAUAUUUUACAUUUCAUGUGAAAAAAAAUUAAAUAUUAAUUUUUUAAUAUGAAAAAUAUUAAUUUAUUAAUACAACAUAAAAGUAAUAAAGGACAAUAUAUAAAAAUAUUUGAAGUAUUUGAUAUUUUAUUAAAUUAAAAUAAUUCUAAAUUAAUAUAUAGCCGCGCAACGCGCGGGUACGUAUACUAGUGAAGAACAAUAAUAAAGAAGAAGACAAUUGAGUUAAUAUUUAUUUUUUCCAAGUUUAAUUUAACACAUGACCAGUUUUUAUUGGUCAGUGCUGUCAAAAAGUUGCACCCACGCGCCUAAAAUAGGUGAAAUCACGGACUCAGCCACGUAGGCCAAAAAGUGGUAAACAAUUAACUAAAAAAUAAGUUCAGGGGGGUAAUAGGACUUUAGUAAAGGUUAGGUGUGUCUCAGGGAUUUUGGGCAUAGGCUGGGGGGGUACUUAUGCAUUUUCCCUUAUGUUAAAUAUACCAAAAUGUUUUUUAAUCUUAUGACUUUAAACAUGUCACGUGAAAAACUGAAAUUAAAGUGUUGCCAAAAAAAGAAGGGUCAUUUUUUUUAAACAGACUAAACAGAAAAGUAGAUCUUUUUAAAACGGAAGGGAAGUAAUUGUUAAUGCAAGAGGAAGCUGCUUGAAAAGUUACGUAUAUGAUGUUGAAGUUGUCUAACAUGCAAUGCUGGUCCUAUAAUCUUUCAUUAUUUAUUAUCCAUGACUAUGGGUGGAUAAUAAUAGUUAUCUGCUAUGAUCAUAUAUACCUAGGGGUGGACAUAUUACUUAGAAAACUUAUGUUAGGUAAUUUUGAUUUCUAAAAAUACUAUAUGGUGUAUGCUAUUUGCAGAUGAUAGUCCUAAUCGACCAGACUCGUAAUAGAGUUAAUGUUAAGCUAGAGAAGAUAAUAAUGGCUCCCUUCUCAAAUAUUUCAUUGGUAGAAAUUUGCCUUCCAGAAUUUCAUAAUUGCAUCUGAUCCUUUCUGAUAACUCAAAGGGCAUCUUAAAUUGGUGCGGAAGUUUAAUUUUGACAUGGAACGCAAAUAUAUGCGGAAAAUUAGUAAUUCAAUAAAUAUUUAAUUAUGAAUGCAUAUUACAAAAGUGCAAGGAAUUCAAUUGUAAGAUGUUGAAGGUUAAACCCAUAAAUUCUAAAUACUAGAGACGCCUCUUAAUGCAAAUAUAAUAUGGUUUAACUAUUUUAAACCUGGCUCAUCUCUCUUAAGUUGUCCCUGUAAUGUUUUCAUGAACUGGAGUUCCAGGUUCUGUUGUAGAGAACCCUUCAAGUGCAGGGGAUGCUCCUAAGCCGUCGGAAAUUCUGAUUUCUGGGCUUUGCAAAGGAAGGUGGGGCAAUAUUUCAGUAGAGGCUUCACUUUCUGCAAACAGCAUAGCUGUUUGGAUUUCAUUGCCUUCAGAUGGCUCUUCUGACAUAGAAUUAGAGUUGUCUCUCUCUUUAUCAAAGGCAUUUGCUAUUGCAGAAAGCUUUUGCCAUACUGAAUCAUCAGUGGCUAAGAUUUCUCUAUUCUGAUAAAGGAAGAUGAGGAAGAAUAGGAGAAGAGCGGAGCCCGCUGAUACACCAGCUAUGAGGAAAAGGCCCUUAAAACUAUCGAGCAUGAGGCUAGAUGCUAUAGCCAUUCCAUCUUGCUUUGGACAAUCUGUUUCAUUCCCAAACCAUUUCUGUAUUAUGUUAUUCAUAAACUCUCCUUCCAUCACCUGCAAGACUGCUCUUGAGACGUCAGGUACCAAAGGAGAUCCUUUUGGAAAUGCCUGCCAGAAGUUGGGGGAAAAUAAAAGAUUAAAUUAUUGAGUAGAACAUAAACCAUUCUAAACAAAUGUAAACACGUUCUGAAACAUCACUGGAGUGCAACAUUCUUACGAAUCCAAAGCCAGCAGCCUUGUAUGUCGGACCGACCAUAAUAUACUUCCUGCAAUACUUGUUGAGGAAGAGUCUGAGAUAAGGUAGUUCAUCAACAAUUGCACCAACACCUCCAUUUUUACUUCCUCUUGAGAGGGCAUUACUAUACUCUUCCAAUGUGCUAUAACUUAUGAACUUGGAACUGUCAAACUUCAUGUGCUUCAAGACAUCUUUGACAAAGGAACCUUCUUGGUACCCAACAUAUUCUCCAUUCUUGAUCAGAUCAUUGAGGUCAGUUAUAGAAGGUUGGAGCUGUUGCACUGUCAACAUAGAUGUUAAGUUGGCUGUAUAACUUGAUGUCAGCACCAGAACCACGAAAACCCACACAAUCAGCACAAAUCUUGUGAAGUUACUAGUAACCCUCUCUCCUGAAACAACCAGCCAUAUAUAUGAUUUGUUGAGAAACAAGGAUAAAUCCUAAAGCUUUUUGUAUAUAAUUUGCUUUGUGUUAGAGACUUACUAUGAGCAAAAACGAGAGUUGAGAAGGAAAACCAGAAUAUCAUCCCAACUUGCUUGUGUUUGGGUCCUCGAAACUCUUUGUUUACACGAUGUUCAAGUACCCAAACCACAAAACCAAUGAAGAUGAAGAAUCCUCCUGUUGUUAUCCAAAGCUCGCUCUUUAGAGGUUUCAAGAAAAUCCAAGCAUUCUUUCUAUCAUCAUUCUUUACCGACACAACAGCAGAAAUACCGGACUCUGAAAAAGGUAAUGUGAAAUCCACAUACUUGGCUCGGCUCGCUAAAAUGGUCACAUCACCUACAACUGCAUCAUAUUCCUGGUUCAAGCAAACAACGAUUAUUUUAGUAUAUAUGGUUGAUCUCAGUCAAAGAAGAAAGUAGAUAUGGAAGUCCCGGAAAGGAGCAUGUAAGGUAUUCAGCCAAAAAGGUUAAUUCAAAAAAGAAUUGGAUAUUACCUUUGAGGAGAUCUUGUAAACAAGAUCAUCAUAGUCUUGAGAAGUGGGGCUAACUAUUGGAAAUGGAAUAAAUUCGUAAGGGAUGGCGUAUGGCAAAGAUUGGAUAACUUCUUUGAAGACAUCUGGAAUGAAACCAGUUGCAGUUACUGCUUGUGUUUUGGCAUCUAUUUCCACUUUAAUGAAUUGCUCCAGCCCUCCUUUGACAGGAACUCCAACCCUCAACUUCUUCCCACUUGUGGGUAUUUCCCAGCCUCUCGGAACAAUAAUAGAUUCACCAGGCCAAAUGAUGGCCGCUAGUUGCUCAUUCAUACUCUUAGCUGUUUUACUAUUCAUCUUCAGUUUAUGCGAAAUGCCAUCCUUCUCGGUCCAGAAUCCAAUGCUUCUCUCUCCUUUCCCAAUUAUAUUCACAAUCUCAUAUGUGUAUAGCUGCAAUUCUCCAUCAAUGAUACGGAAUUCACCACUUAGUCCUGUUUUUGGCUUUGUAUUUCGCAUAGAGUCAAGGAGCAGAGAUCCAAAUUCUGAGGUUCCAAGUGCAUCUAAGUCCGUUAAAUUCUCUCUAGUGUCUGCUUUCUUGAAUUUUGGGAUGAUGGUAGUGCCCACUUUUGCUAUUGCUUUUGUUAAUGCGGUGAUGCUAUCAUAUGCCCAUAGCCCGUAAACAUUGAGUUCAACUGGGUCCAUGUCUGGAUACUCUUGACGGAAUCUCUUUCUCCAUCUCCUCGUGUAAUUGUUAAGCUCAUUUGAUCUUGGAAUAUAAGGUUUUAUACCAAGAACACCUUGCAUUGAUGACUCAAUUACUGAAGUAUCUACCAGGUCCAGAAGACUCGUUAGCACAUCUGUGAUGAUCCAUGCAUAUCCACUGUUCAUCAUCCCGGUUUCUUUGGCCUUGAGGAAAAGGCGGGAGGCAAGAUGUUCUUGCAAGUGCACAAUGAACACCCUGGUCUGCAUUGUCUUCAACUUGUAUAGCUCCCUGAGGAUUUGAUCAUCAUUGGCUGAAGGAGAAAUACCACUUCUAUAGGAGACUAAAGUAUUGAUUUCCAGCAAGGCAUCAGUCAAAUAUGGAAGUAUCCCGGUUCCAUAGGGGCUUUCCUCAUAGAUUACUACAACCUCCCUCCAAUUAUAGUUUUUAACAAUUGCUGCAAUGGCUUUAGUCUGACUGGAAGAAGGAAGUGCGCCUCUGAUGAAGAAGGGAUUUUCCUUGACUGAAAGUGAAGGACUAGUUGCUGGAGAUAUUAUAGGAACUUUAACUCUGUUCCCCAAGUCGAUCACAAAAUCAGUUUGUGUAGACAUUUGUGGCCCAAAGAUAGCUUGCACUUGGACAUCCUUUAGCAAGUAUAUGGCUGCACAUACACAAUCAGACUAUAAGAAAUUGUCUGAACAUCUCUUUUUCAAAAUAGGAAAAGUAAUAUCUUAGAGAAAAAGUGAAUCUUUUGAAGCAAAGAGAGAAAAAUAAUCCUAGUUUAACAUAAGUAAAGCUUAGAGCUGAAUUUUACCAGCUGAUGCUGCUUCAACAUCAUCUUUCUUUGAAUCCCUGAUAUGAGGAACUAUCCUUAUGGCACCGCGACUAGUGUUGGCAUGAUAAUCUGCAAGAGCUAGUAAGAUAGAUAUGUGCAUUACUUUUCCCACAUCUGUUUCCAGAUCAAGAAUUAUGCCCACAUCCACCUUUACAGCACUAGUGUUAUUAUCUUCACCUCUUAUUCCAAUUACAUAGUGGCAAAAGCUAAUGAUGGAAACAAGUUGAAUGAAAAUAAUUAGGAAUUUGCAUCUUGGAUUAUGCAUUUGAAAAACUCUUGUAGAAAGUAAUAUGAGUGUUGGGCAAGAAGCAGUUGUGCUUGUGCAAGAUUUAUAACCACCAUUCAGAGAUGUGUUUAAAGGUAUCUUAACUAUAACUUUUCUACAAUUAAAUGAGACCAAACCUCAUAACUGCAGAAAGAAAAGUCAAAGUUUUCAAAGAAUUACAAAUGGUUUAAAAUAUACUAGUUUGAUUAUUAAAGAAAGAGGACUUUUCACACUUGUUAGACCACAAGCUAGUAAAGCCUCCUCAGUUUUGACCAAAUCAAUAAAUGACUAAAUGAACAUAGUGACAAAAUUGAUUUGUACUCAUUCUCCCAAUACCCAAAGAAGUUUUUGUAUUCAUUGGAUGACUAUCUAGAGGCUACUAAAAGGACUUCCCAUAUUUUGGCUAAGUCAUGUUGAAAGUUGAGUGCUAGCUCAGUUACAAAUAAGUAGAAGAGGUCAGUUUCUAUGACUUGGACAUUGGAAAAGGGCAGCUAUGACUAGUAAUCUUUAGUUUACUUAGACGGUUCAGUUUAGAAUUGGUCAGUAGUAUAAAACUUUAUGGUGGUAGAGGCACAACUUGUAGGGUUGUUCCGGGUUAUCGUUAAAAAAUCAAAUCAAACUUGUAGGGUUGUUUGGUUAGGUUUUAAAUUUUGAAAAUCAACACUAUUUGGUUUGGUUUGGUUUUAAAACUGUAAAAAUAACCAAAUUGAACGUGUAAUUAUAAUAAUUGCUUGAUUGAAUCCACAGUAACUUUCAUGUGUAUUGUUCAUGUACUAGGUGUCUGUGUUUAUAUGUCUUCAAAAAAAUUAUUACUUCCAAAACAAAAAAACAAAAAAAAUUGAACCAAACCGACAAUUAUUUUUUUAUUUGGUUUUAGAAUUUAGAAACCGACUAAAUUGAUCUGGCUUUGAUUUUAGCCAAUAAUCAAUCCAAAUCGAACCAUGAACACCUCUAGGCACAAAUAUAACUUGGUAUGUGAAGGAUUACUAUAAUACCUUUCCUUCAACUUUUUUUUAAAAAAAAAAAACCUCUAUUGGUAAAUUUUUCAAAUCAGUUUUUUUUACUCAUGAGCUCUAUUCCUUUCCCUUUUAUAUUUUUUAUAAUAUAAAAUAUAAGAUAAAAUAAAGAAUUUUUUUAAAAAGAAAUGAGAAAAAAAAUGAUGAAGAUGAGGGGUGAGGAGCUAAAGGAGAGAAGAAAGAUAGAACAUAAGAUGAGAAAGGUAGGGUCCCCAUAUUUUCUUUAUCAAAAAGUAAUUUCUUACCUACCAAAGUCAUAUUUAUGCCUCUACCACCACAAAUUUUUUCGUAUUAACUUGCUUGCAAGUUGCAAAACCAAACAAAGCAAGCAUACCCAAAUGGAGAUGGAAUCUUGGAAUGAGGAUGGUUGGGUAUACAUGUAGGUUUCAAUGUCAUUAUCUCAAUAUAUAUAUACUAGAGGGGCAUGGCCCGUGCUAAGCACGGGCCCAACAUAAACAUAGUUAGUCUAUUAUUCUCUAUAUAGGCAAAAUAUUGUUGGAAACUAUUCACUUAUAUAAGUAACUAAUUCAAGUUAUGUGUUUGUUAACAAAGUUUAUUCAUUCAAGCAUCUGCAAACUAUACACCAUACCAAACCACCAAUAAAGAAAAAGACAUGAAAUGUUAACACAAAUUAAACAACUUCAAAAGAAAGAAAGAAAAGAAGAAGAAUCAAGGAGGUGAAAGAACAUUAAAAUUUUGCAGUCUUAUCAGUCAAAUUCUAGUGGUGUCACAACUUUCACAGGGACCAUCAACUCUUCAACUUUUUGUACAUAUUUGCUUUUCAGUGCCAAUAAAUUAUUAUCUGUCGUUCCUGCAAGUUUUUGGAAAAAGUGUAUCAACAAUUGAUGCUAAAGAUCAUAUACUUUGUUUUGUAUUUUAUUUUACCAAGUAAAAAAGUCAGUAAUUGAUAUACCUAAUUUACUGCACUUAAGACAUUCUAGCUUCUAAAUCUAAUAAAACAAUACUAAUGAACACUUUUAAAUAAAUGAAAGAUGAUGGUACCUAAGGGAUGGAGUAAAUGAAUCAUGUGAAGUAAGCAAAUUGAAGUCAAAGUGAAUGUGUCAAUUACGUGGCCAUUAUAUCAAAUAUUUGUCAAUUCUAACCAAAAAGAAAUUGUUAGACAGUAAAUUUGUAAAACUUUAUAGAAAAUGACCUUUUAUUUUGUCUAUUUUGCCCUUUCAUGUGCUCCUUCAUGUCGCUUCCCCUUUCCAUUUUGUCGUCCCUCUCAUCUCAAUUCCCGUUUUGUUGUCCUCUCUUCCCAAUACUAUUUUUAUCCAGCUUGAUCUGGAAAAGAGGUAACUGACAUAUUAGUGUACUUAAUUUGGAACAAAAUCACUUGGAGAACAAUAAAGUAGGUAAUAAACACGAACAAUACUUAGACUCUGAAGUCUUGGUGAUAGUUAAGUAGUAGAAUGAGGAAGAGAUUAUACAAAUCAAUAGAGUUCAAACAACAACAUAUCUUAUCAAAUCUUAUCACUACCUCGUGGAGGUAGAGGUACUCUUUCCGAAAGAUCAAAUCACUGAUCUCGAUAGUUAUUGUUGAGUAGUUAAUACAUAAAUCUCUCCAGAGUAACAAAAAAAGGGCAGAUAGGGAUUAAAAGAAAUUAAGAAAAUGAAAUACGAUGCUACAUUUCUCAAGAGUUAAAAAGAGGGACAACCAAUUUGAGUAGUAGAUUCAGGUUGAUGGUGAUCUACUAUACAACUAAAUGGUGCAACAACUCAAAAUCUCAAGGAAAACAAAUCAAGACAUUCUUGCAAAUUAAAGGCACUAAUAAAACUGCGGCAGAAAUUCUCGUGACUGUGUGGUUCUAUAUGGAAAAUGACUUCCACAUGCUUGGUCUUAGCAAUACGCCAUGUGCACAAGGAAAAAUAUAUUAUAACCACGCGUUUCUUGUUACCGAUAAACAUGACUUAUGAGAAAGUCAGUUUUUAAGAGAAUUCGAAGAACAACAGGAUAAGAAACUACCCUUUCAUUUACUUUCUCAAACACUUAAUAAGGCUUCCGUUUUUUCAACAUUCUUGCAGAGUUGAUUGUGGAGAUCAACAAUUCAUCCAUUUGACCAUUAUCACUUGUAGACACACUAAACUGACAAAGAGUCUUAUAUCAGGGGUGUAUAAAUGAAAACCCCUUCUUUUCAUAUCUAUUUGAAUUGAUUAAACUUGUCGCACAACAAAUAGGAUCAACGUUUUCAGUAAUCAAAGGAAAGAAAAAAAUCUACAUCAAAGGCAUGUUAUAUGAAGUAUGUGAAAUAAGGAUUGUAGAAACGAAGGAGAAAUAAAGAUUUGAUUAGCUUACCAUUCAAAGUAAUUGUAGACAAACAAAGAAGAAGUGAAUAUUUGAUCACCGCUUACCGUUCAACUCAACUGUAGACAAACGAAGAAGAAGUGAUUGACCCUUAAUUUGGAAUCAAUUGAUUUUUUACUAUAUCUCGAUAAAAAAUUUAAUUUAUGUAACUCAUUUCUAUAUAAACAACCAAGAUGCUUAGAACAUACAUAACAUAUUCAAUGUGGCUUACUUCUAUAAAAAUCAUAAAUAAAAUAUAAAGGAAAGCUUCAAACUCUACCUAAUUAGUUCAUAUGAUCAGCAAAAUCCAAAAAACUUGAAAAAAGAAACAAAUUUGUACUCUCUUGCAGAAAUAAGUUUUGUCUUUUGGAAACAACCUCUCUAUCUCCACGAAGUAGGGGUAACAGUCUACGUACACUCUACCUCCUCAAACCUCACUUAUGGGAACUACACUGGGUAUGUUGAUGUUGUUGUUGUUGAAAUAAGCACAAAAGACUGGACUCUCACUAAAACUUCCGUAAAGAUCAAAUUCUUAAGUUUCAUUCUGCAACUAAAAAUCCCGAAAAUGAAGAAUCAGAUUACUCACAUUGACAAAAGUGGGGUAAAAAAUAACUUGAGCUUUGCUAUUCAAAACAUCAACAACUUCUUCAAUCCCAGAAAGUCUUUUAAUUGCCUUUAAAUGCCUAGCACUAUUUUUUUAAGAAGAAAUUACUGAACAACCUUAGUGAAAAUUCCAAAUUCGCCAUUGCAUCCAACCCCCGUCCCAUCCCUGGACUAUCCUACACCAGCUACCCUUAAAUCCUCACCCAUCCAUCCCAUUGAGUUUUGCUGGAUUACAACGGCCCCCAUCCCAUCCCUUGACUAUCCUAUACAAAAUGGAAAAUCUCUUCUCCAAGGAGUUAGGAGACAAUAAUCGACAUAACUAUGUCAUCUUAUAUAGGGACAAAAUGAAUACAAUCUCACCCUGUGGUCUUCGAAUCUAUAGUAGACAAACGGUAAGUAAAGAGAUAUUGUAUAACUGCACCAACUAUUCAUUAUUUCUGAAGUAAUACAGUGAGUGCAUCACAUGUUAAAGAAAUAAAAUUAAGUUUAUUACUUUUAUUCAUGAACAUGUACAACUCUUGAGAUGAACUUUAAUUUGUCAGUAAACUAUAAAAUAGAGGUAAUUUGUAAAGGCUUAAGCCUAUUGGAUUAGAUUAUGUUCUCCGUGGGGGCAGUUUUUCUUCAACUCCAAAACUGUAUACGUCACUUCUGGUGGUUAUAUGAUUUACAUAUGAGAGGCGACAAUUAGAAGCUGAGAAAAGAAAUGAUCUCAGGUUACAUGACAGAACAAACCAAGUAAUGUUACACUCCCAAUUUCUUUCAGGACACAUAGUAUUGAUAUUUGCGAGCAUGAAAGACUGAAGGAUUAAACAGAGGAGAUAACUCUUAAGAGAGACCUCAUCAAGAACUUAAGAAAAUUUGUGUGAUAAUUUAACAAAUUUAGCGAGGCUAAUUGAUGAAGGAAGUCUAUUCACACUAUAUUCAUUUUAGUGCACUUAUUGACUAAAUGUUUCCCAAGUUCGAAUGUGAGGCCUCUAUUUGAGGAUGUAAUAAAACAACAUUUACCAUUAGAACUAAUUGAGCAGCUUGUGUUAACCCUCUGUAUUUACCUGACGAAUAUGCUUUAAGGUGGAGGAAUUUUUUGCAGUAGUCUUCUAUUAAAACAUCAUUUAAGCUACCUAAAUGAAUGGACAACAUGUAGUUUUUCGACGCAGAAACAAAAAAUCUACCUAACAAAGAGACAGAUAUAUCAAAGAAGCCACAGGUCGAUAAUCAGAGUGUCCUAAAGAGUUACAUUUACAAAAGUUGAGGAGACUGGACACGCUGUCAAAUUAACUCAACACUGAUGCUGCAUUGAAAGUGAGAGUCCAUGUAAUGUGGAUACAAUUCAUUAAGUACACACAAAACAGUCAGCAACUAAUUUCAGUGAUGUGCAACAAAAUUCAUAUAACAUAGCCACCAAGUUGACCAUAAAAUCCAUCAAAACACAUUAAUGAGGAAUUCGUCUUACUUCAGUUUUGAAUUCCCCCGGCUUUUAAGUAUACAAGCCACAUUUUUACUGAAUUUUCUCUUCAAGUGCAGUAAAGUAGCUCAAAGAACAGAAAGCAAAGUUACAACUGACAACUACAUCGAGAAAGAGGCUACUAUGGACUGUCAAUUUUUACAUGUGAAUCCAAAAAUUAAGCUCGCAUAACAACGGGUAAUAUACCAAAUUCAUAUUAAAUUUUAGAUCAAACAACAUCAUUUAUCAUGCCAAAACAGUCUAGCUGUGCAACUUUUAAGCAAUUUGGAUACACUUAUAUCUAAAAAUUGGCUAAACUAUUGAUAAACGUACUAUCUAAUGCUGGAAAUAUGACAUAGUACAGUGAAUAUUGAUCAAUUUACUACCAUCGCUGCAUUUUGAUACUCCUUGAACAGAGAAACGGAUGGAAAUGGACCAGCCAAGCUACGCCUAAUUACACCAUCUCUAUCUUUUAACUACUUUUGUACUUGGCUUCCGAUUGACGCUCAGCUCAGGUAAAGCACAAGAACAAUUAGGAGUAAAUUGAAAUUGUAUAUUACCAGUGGUCAUAUACUCGGGAGUAGCACAACUGAAUUGUAUGGACAAAUCAUAAGAGGGCAACAGAAAUAUUGUUAAAACUUGUAGAAGACUAAAUUUUAAAGUAGUUUUAGAUACAGCAGCCAGCAAAAUGUUAGAUGAUUUGAAAUCCUGAUACAUAAUUUUAGCUUCUGGGCUGUGGAGAUAUGUCAGUCCUUUAGCUGCCUUGAGAGUAACCUUCAUUCGGAGAUUCUAUGAUAGCGGUUGGAAAUAAGCACUCCUCUGUUCAAGAUGUACCAAAGGUUUAUUCAAUGACAUUACACGGAUAAUAUUAGUGGAUGUCCUCAAAUUAGAUGUGGAUUCAAGAUUUCAAGUUUAUGGAUUUCUAUAAUGAACUAAGUUCAUAGUAAAAUAAAUUUCUUAUACAUGGUUUAGAAAAAACAAUUGGGUCCCCAUGAAUCUACAUAUCAUAUUGUGGAUCUGUUCUUGCGUUAAAUAUGCAGUUAUGGUUUCAUACAAACUAUACUUACUUCUGAAUAGAUGAUUUUCCAAACUUCCCCUCGGCAUGAAUUCGCACACCAGAAUCUUGUGUUCAUCUUCUAACCUGGCUCAGGUAAGCAAUUUUCGCCUGUAGUUUAAGUGUACAGAGAAAACAGUUAAUCAACUUAUCAAGAUCAAGAAUUAUAGGAAAGCUUCAAUGUCUUUGAUAAAACAAUCAUCGGAUAUUUUAAAGGGAAGAGUUUAUAUACCAAUCAUUCCUUGUGACCUUGAAAGCUUUCUUCAAGAAUUUCACUUUGACUUUGAGGAGUCAACUGAGCCGAUAAAUAUGAAUGUGAUCAUGGAAAUGAUGCCUAAUUAAUAUGUAUCUUUGUAUGUCUUCUGUCUGUUCCUAGUAAAAGUUGCACCAGUUUACAUCAAUUAAGUAAUAAACUGAAUAAGUUAUAACAUGACUAUCUUAUAGCUUAUUUCAAACUGAACACGUACAUCUUCAUUACGUUUUUUAAAAUUUAGUAGAAAUAGAAAUGUAUAAUGGUACCUGAUAAGCAAAUCAAAUUCGUGACUAUCUUCUUGGCUCAUUCGUUAUGGAUGAACUUGAAGUUUCAUAAUGAACUUACUUUCAGCAGGGUUAUAAGCAUCCAGAUCAUAAAAUUCUUCAGGGGCAAAUGGUAUAGGAACAAAUCUCUGAGCCAAUUUUGUAAUUCCCUCAAGGCGGUAACUAUUGAUUGAAAUCUGCAUUUUUCCAUAGCUUUCAGAUAAAUGAAUAAGAUGUGUUAAAAAUGGAGAUUGUUUGCUAUUUAUAUACCGAAACUUGCACUCUAUGAAAAAUAAAUAACUUAUCUUACAAAGAAUUCUUCAUGUUCAAAGAAAGUCUCCCGUGUCAUAUAAGCAAAUUAUAGUUUAUGUUUAUCUACAUAUACAUAUGUUAGUAUUCAACAUUAUAAUUCAACUGCAUAUCCAACUGGAAAAUUAAAUCAACUAAAGAGGGAGAAAUACUGGACUUUCCACAUAUGAGAAAGGGUUGUGAAAAUAGGGUAACUCUAAUAGCUAAUCCUUCCAGUUGAAAGUGUUUUUGAGAAAAAAAAUCAAAUUAAGUUCGAUGUACCUGAUAACGCUCAAUGUUCCCUGCAUGGCAUCUUCUCAAUUUCUUUCCUUUCCUUUCUUCUCCAAGUACUUGUAAAGUCCUAUUUAUGAAAAAUUAACAAAUUGAAAAAACACCCACAUCAAGAACAAAAGCGGAAGAAACACUACAUUUCAAUAAUCAAAAGCACAAAAAAUUGAAAUACAAAGCGGGACAACGGAGAAGAAGAGGAGUAAACGACCAUAACAACAACAUCCAAUCAAGUUUAGAUUCAGUACAUGCAACAUUACCACAACCUAAACACCAAAAUUGAUGAAUAAAAAAAAGUCGGAACUCAUCAAAUGAAAAAAUCGACAAAACAGAUCUAAAGUCAAAAGGCAAAACAAAAAUGAGAAGAAAGAAGGAAGGGAAGAAGCAGUGCAUACCUAGGAAGGUAUGCAAUUUAACUGAGAAUUUCAUAUGAGGGCUUGCAAAACCCUUCCAUUUUGCAGAGCAUUUUUUCUUGGGACAGAGAAUGGAUGCAGAGGAACAGGGAUAUAUCACAUAGCUAGGACACGUGUUUCACAGAUGAAUAUACAGAUACACAUUAGUUAGAAAGCAAUGAGUCAAAUUACCAAAUUAACCCUAUUGGUACAAUUAACUUGAAUUUUGGUACAACUUGUAUAUGUUGUGUUAGUCCGAACUCUUGUUGGCUGUAGAAGGACACGUGUAGCCCACGUGUUUAUUCAAUAGUGAAUAGGGCUUAAUGGUACAGUACAAUUUUUUAUACUAUUGGUACAACUUUGUAGAGCUGUGUUGGUACUCUUCUUGUUGGCUUAUAUAUAAGGGUAAAGAGCUGUGUUGGUACUCUUCUUGUUGGCUUAUAUAUAAGGGUAAAGAGCUGUGUUGGUACUCUUCUUGUUGGCUUAUAUAUAAGGGUAAAGAGCUGUGUUGGUACUCUUCUUGUUGGCUUAUAUAUAAGGGUAAAGAGCUGUGUUGGUACUCUUCUUGUUGGCUUAUAUAUAAGGGUAAUAUAUAUACUCCCUCCGUCCCAAUUUAUGUGGCACCCUUUAUUUAUAGUCUGUUCCAAAAAACAAUGUCAUCUUACUAUAAUUAGAAACAAGGGAAAAGACUCAAAUAUGUUAUUGAAAUUUGAGAAAAGACUCAUUUAUGUCGUCCGUUAAAAGUUUGGUUCAUCUAUGUCAUUUUCGUUUGAGAAAAAACUCAUCCAUAUCAUUAGUUGUAAACUAAAAAUAAUUUUGGUUUUGUAAGAUCAUUUUAUACACGUGGUCAAUUAUGAUUUGGCCAUGUCAUCAAUUAAAUCAUUUCUAUAGAAGAGAAAAGGUUCAAAUAUGUCAUCGAACUUUGAGAAAAACUCAUUUAUAACAUCCGUUAAAAGUUUGUCUCAUCUAUGCUAUUUCAGUUAAUAAAUAAUGGCAUGAAUGAGGUUUUUCUCAAAUGAAAAUGGCAUAGAUGAGCCAAUUUUUUAACGAAUGACAUAUAUGACCUUUCUCAAAGUUCGAUGGCAUAUUUGAGUUUUUUCACUAGAAACAAUUUCAUUUAAAAUUCACUGUUAUCCUUAAUGAAAUUAUUUACAAACACACAAAUAUCUAAGGAUUGUUUUAAAUCACAAGUUUAAAAGUCUUUUUUUAAAAAAAUAAAUAUAUCGUGUCAAGUUAAACAAUGCCACAUAAAAUGAGACGGAGAGAGUAAUUGUUAAUGCAAGAGGAAGCUGCUCGGGAAGUUACGUGUAUGAUGUUGAAGUUAUUUGACAUGCAAUUGAGGUGAUCCUAUAAUCUUCCAGUAGUUAUGACUAGUAAAAUCACUCAAUUUAUAAAAUAAUACUUAAAAUAUAUGAGUCAUUAAAACUAAAACACUAUAUUAUCUUACAUAUAAGAUUACAUAUAACAAACAUUAAUAAUGUAAGUAAAAAAAAAUUUGAAUAUGUUAACAAAUUUUUGAAUUUUUUCCUCAGACAUAUAUCACAAUUGUAAAAUCUAUGCAACUUAAAUGUGUUCUUGUUCUUACGAAACGCCUUUGUGUAUAUAUAUUCUUAUUUUAUUCUCUCUUUUUUUCCUUUUAAUGAUGAUUAAAUAACCAUUAAUUUAUUAUUUCCUGAAUAAUUCAUUCAUUAGAUGUUCUUGAGUUUAUGUGAUAAUGACAAAUAAUAGUAUAGAUUCUUUUAAGGAAUUUUUUACUGUACCUUCAACAAUUUCAUGAUCAGUAGAGAAAACUUGCAUGAAUACUCAAUUAACAUGUGUUGUUUAAUCUGUACUAACAAAUACUUAAAACAAUAACUUUGUAGAAACAUAAACACAAGUUUAAAACAUGUACUCAAAAACAAUAAUUAAUAACAUAAGCAUAAAUUAAUGAUUGUAAAAAAAUAUACCAGGAUCUGUAAUAAUAGGAUGAAACAGAAAGGAAAAAACUGUACACGAAUAUUUAAUUGUGCAGAUUAAGAAGAAGAAGUUCAAAAUUUUCGUUUUUUUAAAAUGAGAGGAAAUCACUCUAUUUAUAGCUAGACAACAAAGGGUAGUGUGAACAAAUGUUUAUUGUGCCUUAUCGAAAAGGUCACAACUCUUUGGAAAAGUUACAACUGUUUGGAAAGGUCAUAACCUUUCAUAAAAGACACAACUUUUCAUAAAAGUCGCAACUCUACAUAGAAGUUACAACUUUUCAUAAAAGUCGCAACUGUUCAUAUAAGUCGCAACUUUUCAUAAAAGUCACAACUUUUCAUUAAAGUAGCAAAUUUUUAUGAAAGGGGAAGGAUAGUUUUGUAAAUAUAUUAAUUAAAAAAGGAAUCAUGGUUUGUGAUGGCGCCACGUAGGCAGGCCUAGGAUUCUCUUUUAUAUAUAUAUAUGAUAUAUGAUAUGAUUAUUUACUGUGGUCGUUUUCUGAUAUGAUCACAAUAAGAUAUAACCGUCUAUUAUCUUUUAAACUUGUUUUUCUUUUUAGUUUGCAAUAUAUUUUGGAUUGGUAACAUUAGUAGUAUUAAAUUGUUAACAGCACUAGUUUGCAAUAUUUUUGGUUUCUACAAACAUUAUUUGCACAUAUUGAAAGAAAUAUAUAUGAUAUGGUUUCAUUGAAUUAUAUCCUCUACAUAAGCAGUGAAGACAAACAAAGUACUAAUGUUAUUUAAAUUGUCUCUAAAAUUUUGAUGAUUUAACAAACUUUGAGAUCUAACGAACGACCAGAUUCCAAGAGAGAUUGAGAGUUCCGUUUAUGAAAAAAACAGCGGUCUAAAAGCUGCAACACCUGCUGUGGUUGGUGCACGUAUUUUGCAGCAGACAUUCAGCCAAUAGCAGGGCAUUGCUUCAAGAGUUUGGGUCCAUCCUAUAAUACACCUCUUUGACAUUGACACAAACUCAAGUUUUUGCAAUAUAAAAAUUCACAACAGCAAAAGUCAUUCUCUCAGGGAAAUAUUUCUCGAUAAAUGAUAGAGUUAUCAUCGUUCUUAUGUGUUUUUAGGGCUUAUAUUUCUGUGCUUAUACUUGUAAGAUCUAUUCCUACGUUAUAAAGGAAUUAGAUCAUUUGAAGUUUUUUCUGAGUAUUCCGAGUUAUAUCUAGAGUUAGUUAUGUUGUAUUCUUGAAUUCUAGAUCAACUAUAGCUAGUUGAUUUAGUGGGUCAUAGAGUUAUUGCUUAGUUUUUGAGUAACAGAGUUGUUACUAUGAGGGGAAGGGAUUAAGAGUUUAAUUCCUAGGUUACAAGAGUUUGUAAUCUGAAGCUUUGCACUUUUGAUGAUAAUGGAGUUGGGUUAAAUCCUGUGAGACAGACCGUGGUUUUUUCCUCCCUUGAACAAGGGGCUUUCCACGUAAAACUCUUGUAUUUGUUUUAAUUUGUGUUAUUUAUUUUCCACACAAUUUUUCUUUCAAGGGACUUGGUCCAUUGACCGUUAGUGGACGCAUACAUUCUAUGAGUACUAAUAAGAUUGAAAAAGAAACCACUAAGAAAAAGUUAGGGUUAAAUCCAUCAAAUGGAAUCCUGGAGCCACCUCUUGAUGCUAAUAUUCUGGCCAAGAUCAGUAACAAAGAUAUAAUGUAAUCUGGUUUAACUAACCCUAAAGCUAGCUCAUCUCUGUGCAAUCUCAUAUAGGGCCCUAUUCAGGUGUGUCACAAUUAUGGUAGUAGCUAUAUGUGUCAUCUUUCUUCAAUUGUGUCUGUAAUGGUUUCAUGAACUGGAGUUCCAGGUUCUGUUGUAGAGAACCCUUCAGCAGCAGGGGAUGCUCCUAGUCCGUCGGAAAUUCUGAUUUCUGGGAUUUGCAAAGGAAGGUCAGGCAAUAUCUCAGGAGAAGCUUCACUUGCUGCGAGCAAUUUAGGUGCAUUGCUUUCAGAUGGCUUUUCUGACAUAGAAUUAGAGUUGUCUUUCUCUUCAUCAAAGACUUUUGCAAUUGCUGUAAGCUUCUGCCAUAUUGAAUCAUCAGUGGCUAAGAUUUCUCUAUUCUGAUUAAGGAAGUUGAGGAAGAAUAGGAGAAGAGCGAAGCCUGCUGAUACACCAGCUAUGAGGAAAAGUCCCUUAAACCUAUCUAACGUGAGGCUAUCAGAUGUUAUAGCCGUUUCAUCUUUCUGUGGACAAUCUGUUUCAUUCCCAAACCAUUUCUGUAUUAUGUUAUUCAUGAACUCUCCUUCCAUCACCUUCAAGACUGCUCUUGAGACGUCAGGUACCAAAGGAGAUCCUUUUGGAAAUGCCUGCAAUAAAAGAUUAGAUGAUUGAGUAAACAACAAAUCAUUCUAAAUAUAUGUUAACAGUGUCUGAAACAUCAGUGGAGUGUACAAUCUUACAAACCCAAAACCGGCAGCCUUGUAUGUCUGGCCGACCAUAACAUACUUCCUGCAGUACUUGUUGAGGAAGAGUCUGAGAUAAGGUAGUUCAUCAACAAUUGCACCUACACCUCCAUUUUUGCUUCCUCUUGAGAGGGCUUCAUCAUAUUCUUUCAAUGUGAUAUAACUUCUGAACUUGGAGCUGUCAAAUUUCAUGCGCUUUAUGAAGACAUCUUUGACAAAGGAACCUUCUUGGUACCCAACAUAUUCUCCAUUCUUGAUGAGAUCAUUGAGGUCUGUUAUAGUAGGUUGGAGCUGUUGCAGUGUCAACAUAGAUGUUAAGCUGGCUGUAUAACUUGAUGUCAGCACCAGAACCACAAAAACCCACACAAUCAGCAAAAAUCUUGUUAAGUUACUUGUUACCCUCUCUCCUGCAACAACCAGCCAUAACAUAUUCUCCAUUCUUGAUGAGAUCAUUGAGGUCUGUUAUAGUAGGUUGAAGCUGUUGCACUGUUAACAUAGAUGUUAAGCUGGCUGUAUAACUUGAUGUCAGCACCAGAACCACAAAAACCCACACAAUCAGCAAAAAUCUUGUUAAGUUACUUGUUACCCUCUCGGCUCGCUAAAAUGGUCACAUCACCUACAACUGCAUCAUAGUCCUGGCUCAAGCAAACAUUGAUUAUUCCAGUAUGUAUAGUUGAUUGUAAUAGCAGAAAAUAGAUAUCGAAGUCCCAAAAAGGACCAUGUUAGUAAGAUAUAGAGCCAAAGAGGUUUAUUGGAACAGAGAUUAUAUAUUACCUGAGAAGUGAUCUUGUGAACAAGAUCAUCAUAGUAUGGAAGAGUGAGGGGAUCUUGUAUUGGAGAUGGAAUAAAUUCGUAAGGGAGAGCAUAUGGCAAAGAUAGGAUGACUUCUUUGAAGACAUCUGCACAGAAACCAGUUGCUGUUACUGCUUGUGUUUUUGAAUCUCUUUCCACUUUAAUGAGUUGCUCCAGCCCUCCUUUGAGAGGAACUCCAACCCUUAACUUCUUCCCACUUGUGGGCAUUUCCCAGCCUCUUGGAACAAUAGUUGAUUCACCAGGCCAAAAAAUGGUUCCUAGUUGCUCAUUAUUACACUUAACUGCUGUUUUACCACUGUUUUACUAUUCAUCUUCAGUUUAUGCGAAAUGCCAUCCUUCUCUGUCCAGAAUCCAACGCUUCUCUCUCCUUUCCCAAUUAUAUUCACAAUCUGAUAUGGGAUUGGCUGCAGUUCUCCAUUGAUGAUACGGAAAUCACCACUUAAUCCUUGUUUUAGCACUGUGUUUCGCAUAGAGUCAAUGAGCAGAGAUCCCACUGCUGACGUUCCAAGUGCAUCUAAGUCUGUUAAGUUCUCUCUGGUGUCUGGUUUCUUUAAUUUUGGGAUAGCAGUAGUGCCCACUUUAUCUAUUGCUUCUGCUAAUGAGGUGAUGCUAUCGUAUGCCCAUAGCCCGAAAACAUUGAGUUCUAUUUGGUCCAUGUCUGGAUACUCUUGACGGAAUCUCUUUCUCCAUCUUUUCGUGUAAUUGUUAAGCUGAUUUGAUCUUGGAAUAUAAGGUUUUAUACCAAGAACACCUUGCAUUGAUGACUCAAUGACUGAAUGAUCUACUGAGUCCAGAAGACUCGUUAGCACAUCUGUGAUGAUCCAUGCAUAUCCACUGCUCAUCAUCCCGGCUUCUUUGGCCUUGAGAAAAAGGCGGGAGGCAAGAUAUGGUCGCAAGUGCACGACGAACACCCUGGUCUGCUUUGUAUUCAUAUUGUAUAACUCCUUGAGAAUUUGAUCAUCAUUGGCUGACGGAGAAAUAACACUUCUAUAGGAGACUAAAGUGCUGAUUUCCAGUAAGGCAUCAGUCAAAUGUGGAACUAUCCCGAACCCAUAGGGGCUAUCCUCAUAGAUGACCACAACCUCUCUCCAAUCAAAUUUUUUAACAAGUGCUGCAAUGGCCUUAGUCUGGCUGGAAGAAGGCAGUGCUGCUCUGAUGAAGAAGGGAUUUUCCUUGACUGUAAGUAAAGGACUUGUUGCUGGAGAAAUUAUAGGGACUUUUGUUCUGUUCCCUAAGUCAAUCACAAAAUCAGUUUGUGUUGAC
rnacentral:lncRNA from 1 species